UUCAGUCAUAGUUCAAGGUAUACAUUUAUAAAAAAAAAAAAAAAGCACAAUAAACAUCGAUUAUUUUCAUGAAAAUAGCCACAUAUAACCAACAGUAAGGUUACUUAUUAUUUUAAAUAUUAUUUCGUGAAACAGCUGCAGCUACAUAGCUGACCAACACAACAGUAGCUUGUUAUUUCCAAACACAAGAGGAAUAAACACCCAAAAGCAGCAAAAGGCAUGAAUGCAGCUUCUUCAAGUUGAGUAACUAUAGCUAGCAAUUGAAGAAGCAGAAGCAGGCAAAACCAAGGCCAUCUCUGUGGCAAGCACCGCUACUUGCACCCUCGCGUUCUCGGCACUGUUUAUCACAGUCUUCUGUUACGAAGCACGGGCCAGUCCAAGUCUUACUACGCCGCUCGCAUAGUGCAGCCUCUGCCGGCUUUGCCAUUUCUGUAAUACACAACACUUACACAAAAUGAUUAAUUUCUAGUUAAUUAAAUUUUAUAAUGCAUGCGUGCUUGCACAAACUUAUCAUCAUGAAGUACACAUCAAUGUCACACACCGAACGAAGCGAAGAUGAUGAAGAAUGCAAAAAGAAGAGCAAAAGUCAUUGUAAAGCCAGAAACAGAUUUAGCCAUUUUAAUUUUUAUUUGUUGCACUUGCUGAACUGGUUUAUUAUUUCAUGAAAAUGGUAAGUGACCGUAGCCCCAAUUUAUACACUUGCAAUGUAAGCUAUCCCUUCCCUUUUUGAGAAAGUUUCGAUGAAAUUUUUAGACCUUACUAGUUUUUUAAUAUAUCGAUAAAGUGCAAGGUUUAAUUGUUGUUUUGUAACCAUCUCCCACGUUGGGAAUAUGUAAACAACAAAUAUAUCAGUACCAACAAAGACAGAUAAAUAUUUUCAGCCGAUGUGGCAAACAAGGUUGUGAGGCCAAAAUAAAAUAUUUACAAAGUAAUGAGGUAAAAAUGUAAAAUUUAAAAAUAGUUAAAUUUUAUAAUUUUAUAAUUAUUUUCAAAUCUUUUUCUUUUACGUUGCUUUCUAAAAAAUUUCAAAAAGUAAGCCGGGGGUUACCUUGAUUUUUUUUUUUUUUUGGUUUUUUUAACUUUAAAAUUUCAAAGAUAAGUUAGGGUUGCCUUGAAAGCCUUUGCUAUAGGUUGCAUUACUUUUGAAAAUUUUUCAAAAAGUCAGGGGUCACCUUGCGCAAACGCUCUUCCGCUUCUAUAUUUAUAUUAAUCUCGAACUUACUUCAAUAUAUAUCUAGUUUCCCUAUCAAGUGAUAACAUAACAUCACUGCUAGAAUAAUCCUAAACUUUCUUAUUGUUGGGUGUGGGUACAUAGAGAUACAUCAACAAUGGUACAAUGAAACUUCAUCGGGGCCAGACCAAUAACUUAAUUAUAUCUAGGAUGUAAUGGGAGGGGAAAAAAAUUCGAUCCUACACAAAUAAUUUUGGGAAAAGGACACAAGGACCCCCGACGUUUGAGUAAGGGACACAAAACUCCCUAAGGUUUUAAAAAAGAUACGCAGACCCCAAUUAAUUAACGAAAAUCGUUUCGUUAAAUCACUACAAGGUUAAUACCGUAAUUACAAAUUAAAAACAAGUGAAUUGACUAAAAACCCACACACACAUCACACGGACAAACAAACCCCACACACACUGAUUCCAGACAAAUCUUUUAACACACACUCACGGUUUGCCUUGCCGAAAGCUGCUGGGGUUGCCGGAAGUUGCUGGAACUGGUCACGCUACUGGAAGCUACUGGAUCUGCUCGUGCGUCGAUCGAGACUGUGUCUGGUUGCCGGAUCUGCUCGCGAUCAACGUUUGGCUGCUGGUUGUGCUGUUGGAACUGCUGGAAUCUCGCGUUUGGCUGUUGGAACUGCUCGUGUUUGGUUGCUGCUCUUGCUUGUGGAAUCUCGCGUUUGGCUGCUGCUUGUGCUCGCGUUUGGUUGCUGAUCCUGCCUGUUGAAUCUCACGUUUGGCUGCUGCUCUUGCUUGUGGAAUCUCGCGUUUGGCUGCUGCUUGUGCUCGCUUUUGGUUGCUGCUCUUGCUUGUGGAAUCCAGGGUUCAAUUCUCUUAAGUCCUAUUUUUUCUCUUUAAUUUUCAUUUUUUUUACUAAAUUAACUUCUCUAGCAUGUUUGAUGCAUAUGUGAUGUAUGUGCAAGAAUAUAAAUAAAUGAUUACGAGAAUUUUUUUUUUUUUUGUUUAUGGUUGUUUGAUGAACAGAGUUCUUAAUUUGUCUGAUUUAUUGGAGAUUUCUUGCUAAUUACUUUUGUUAUUUCUUUUCUUUAUCAAUUUUUAGAUGUGCAUGCAAUUUUCUUUAUCAAAUUUAUUUUGUUAUAUCUAACCAGUUGGGCUAGAAUUCUACCUAGGUGAGAUAUUAUGCAUUUUUUUUAAUGGUCCUGGAGCAUGUGAAUUUUGUGCUUAAUUUAUUAAUGAAAAGAAUGUAUUGGUUUGCAGAUGGUUGAUCAGCCAUCCCAAAACCUGAAUACUCACUCACUUUAUUCUUUUGAACAAGAAGAUGAUGAAGCAUAUUGGUCAAAUGAUGACAAUGAAGACAUAACACCUGCUGAUGAUGAAAUAGGAUUAAAUUGGGAUGAUGAGGGAGUGGAUGUUGGGCAUAGUGAAGGUUGUGAAGAAGUGGAUUAUAAAGAUAGUGAAGAAGAAGAUAGAAUUCUUUCUAAUUGUGAGUCAGAUGAUAGAGAGCAUGGCCUGCUUUCUGAUUCUGAAGAUGAGCAAUCAUUUCAUUGUUCAAAAUCUAACCCCAAUGAAAUGAUUGAAAUCAGUGUUCGGCAGGAGUUCGACAAUGUCCAACAUUUCAGAAGAGUACUUGAAAACUACGUUAUUAAGAAUGGGUUUGAUCUUAAUAGAAUUAAGAAUGAGAAGAGAAGGUUCAGGGCAAAGUGUUCCAAUGAGGGCUGUCCGUGGUUUAUUUAUGCAGCACUAGUAGAAUCUGGGACAAAAUUCAGAAUUCAGAAGCUGAAUAAUGUACAUGAAUGUAAUGGAGUGUUAGAGAGCAAAGAGGCAUCAUAUAAAUGGAUUGCCUCUCAGUUUGAGGGAACUUUGAAGAACAACCCAAAAAUGCCAGUAAAGGGAAUGAAAGAUGAAUUGGUUUCUAAUUUAGGGAUUAAGGCAAGCAUGAAGAAAAUGUAUAGGGCCAAGAAAAGAGCAAUGGAUAAAUUAAAUGGGAACUAUGCAAAUUCUUAUCAGAGGCUAAGGGAUUAUGCCCAAAUACUCAAACAAAGCAAUCCCAAUACGUUAGUAAAGAUGAAAUUUGUGCCUAGUUUUGAUCAAGAUAGAAGACCAGCUUUGAAGUUUCAGAGAUUUAUGCUUAGCUUUGUUGCUUUGAAGAAUGGAUUCAUUAAUGGAUGUCGAUGGUUUAUUGGAUUGGAUGGUUGUCAUUUAAAGGGGCAUUUCAGAGGUGUACUAUUAUCAGCAGUGGCAUUAGAUGCAAACAAUGGAAUUUUUUCGAUUGCCGUUUGUAUUUGUGAAUCAGAAUGUGCUGAUAGUUGGAAAUGGUUUUUGGCAAUAUUGAGUGAGUGGUUGAACAUAGAGAAUCAAAGUCGAGUAACGUUUAGGACAGAUAGGCAAAAAGGAAUAUUACUAGGUUUGGAAGCAUAUUGGCAUGGUGCAACAGUGAGGCAUUGUGCCAGACAUAUAUUUGCUAACUUAAGAAGUAAUCAUCCUGAUAUCAUCUACAGAAACCUAUUUUGGACAGCAGCAAGAGCCACUAGUGAAAAAGAAUGGGAAGACAACAUGAACAAAAUAAAAACAGCUAAAAAAGACACGCAAGCUGCUUAUGAUUAUUUGAUUAAGAUUGACAAGAAACAGUGGGCUAGACAUGCAUUUUCCUGAUGAUGUAAAAGUUGAUCAUGUAACUAACAACUUAAAUGAGUCAUGGAACAGCUGGUUAAAUGAAUACAAAAGACAACCCUGUGUUGACACUUAUGGAAUUCAUUCGGAAGAAAGUUAUGAAAAGACUGUAUAAAAGGCAUUCUGAUGCAAGAAAAUGGAUUGGGAAGCUACCUCCAACUGUGAGGAGAAAGUUGAAUGUUUCCAGACAAGAAGGAAGAUAUGUAAGGGUGCUUAUGGCUAGUGAGUAUGAAUUUGAGGUAAUAGAUGAGAAUAAUAAAACAUUUAUAGUUAAUAUGCAGAAUAAAACUUGUGAUUGUGGUGUUUAUCAAAUUUGUGGGAUACCAUGUAAACAUAUCAUCCCAUGUAUUGCUUUAAGACAUGAAGAUGCUGCUGAUUAUGUGGAUAAAAAACUGACAGUGGAAGCAUAUUUGGCCACAUAUGCAAAUAUCAUACAUCCACUUCCAUAUCAAAGUACAUGGGCUGUUGUUGAAGGUCUAAAAGUCUUAUCUCCAUAUGUCAAAACAAGAGUUGGUAGGCCUAAAAUAGUGAGGAAAAGAGAGCCAGGGGAAGAACAAGGGAAAAGAAAGACCAAGCAAAAAUGUAGCUGUUGUGCAAUUUUCGGCCAUAAUAAAAGAUUAUAUAAAAGACCAAUUGAUUCCACUCAACACCCCUCAGGUAAGCCUAAAUUUCUUUUUUUUUUUAUUUUACUUUUUUAUAUAAAAAUAAAAUUUAUAUAUUAAUAUUUAUACAUUUAUCGUGCAGGAACAACCACACAAGAUAUGAGAUGAAGCUCACAAGCUAGUAAUCAGAGUUGUUAUACCAAUUUGUGAACAGAUUAUGUUUUUUUUUCAAAAAAUAUUAUGGUUAUUGUUGUAAUGUUUACCAGUACUAAUUUGAUACAAUAUUAUAAUACAAUUAUUUUUUGUUAUGUUUACUGGAUUGAUGGUUUUAAUGUCUAUUGGAUAUGUUAUUUAGUACAAUUAAGAUUUUGUAAUUAUUGUUGUAAAUAAUUUUUUUUUUAAUUUUGUUGAUUAUAUAAGUUUAAAUGAUUGACAUAUGGAGAAUUGUUAUUUUUAUUAUAUUAAUAAUCAAUUUAAUUUAUUUUUAUUCUUGAGCAAUGAAUUAAAUUUAUUUAGUUUGAAGAGAAAAAUUAACAAAAAUUAAAUGGAAAAAUUGGGUAAUGAAGUUAUAUUCGUAAUUAUAUUAAUAAUAUAGGGAUAAAUUGGACAAUGAACAAUUAGUUUUUAAUAUGCUAUAAGGGUAUAAUGGUAAUUGUACUUUAAAAUUAUAAUUUCACUCAAAAGAAACGGUUUCCGUUAACUAAUGGGGGUCUGAGUGUCUUUUUUGAAACAUGAGGGGGUUUUAUGUCCCUUAUUCAAACGUUGGGGGUCUCUGUGUCCUUUUCCCAAUAAUUUAUCAUCAUGUGUUAAGUGACGAUUGACUUUAUUAAUUAUUGGUACAAAAUUAAUAUGCCAAGCACAAAUGAUCAACUGAGAUACAAAAUCUUGGUUCUCCACUGCGUGUGUAUAUUAUACCAUGUAAUGUUGUUAUCACCACCCAAAACUCUCUCCGAAUUAAGUAGGUAUAGGCGCUAAUUCAUCACAAGAUUAUUACUGCACUCGCAUGAAGUGAAAAUAGAUUUGUUGGAUAUCCCUUAUUCAUAUUUUUUUCUCAUUAGUCAUAAUUGUCCCAUAGACAAUAACAAAUGUAGGAUUUUAAAAUGAAUAAAAAAGUUCUUUUCAAUAAUCUCAUAUUUACAAAUUAUAUUUUCUUUUAGUGUUUCCAAAAAGAGGAACAUGUAAAAAAUAUAUAUUAGCUUGUUAUACGACUCUUUUUGGUCAAGUGAUAGUGCUUCAGGUAAUUUUUAUAAAUAAAAUUAAGUUUUGUUUCAAAUAAGCACUCCCCCCCUAAAAAAAAAAAGAAGGGGAGAAGGCAAAACCCAGAUUGAUUUCUUAGCGUUACUUUUCUCAAAAUCCAGACUCAAGUGGUCGGGCAAAGAAAUUUGCGUAAAAACCACUCGGUCAAGACCUUUGGCCUCAUUGAGUACUCAUUGAUGGCGAUAUAAUUAAUUAAUUCUAAUGUGACCAACUCAUUUGCACGUGAGAGAAAAUGAAUGUUAAUUAUACUUCACCAGCAACUAUAUCCAAUUUUGUUAUUUUAUAUUAUUAAGUCUCAAGAUGGUUAUGUUUCAUACACAUUUAACUAAUUAAGAACAUAAUAAAUACUUAUAUGGAAUAAAUAAUUUUUCAUAAUAGUACAUGAAUGUUCAUUCCUGGUGCUUGCGUAUCAUAGUAAUAUAAAUAGCGUGAAGAGAUGGAGUAAUAACUUAUAAUUAGAUUUGUAGAGUGUGGCUCAUUAUAUUAGAAUAACACAAACAAGCAAUACAACAAAGACGCAACAAACAUUGACUCGUUCCUUAUUCAGAAGCUACGUACGGUAUAGUUAUGGCUAACCGUACACUGUACGUAGCUUGUUAUUGUUCUAAACACAAGACGACUGAAACGAGACACAUCACACGAACGACAGCAAAUAAUUAAGGUAGCCACAGCUAGCUUUCGCUGCUAACGAUGGAUAUAAUUUCUUUCAUUGAUAAGCAACUAGCACUCGAAGUAACAGAAGCACGCAUAACCAGUUCCUUGUCUGUAGCAAGCCCCGUACCUUGCAUCCUCCUGCUGCUUGCAGUGCCUGCUACAUUUCCCCGUGUUGAGACACGGCCCCGACCAUGUCUUGCUACGCCGCUGGCACACUUUUGCUUCCGCCAUUGGCACUUCUGUAACAAGCAUAACAAAUCAUUAACGUGCACUUAGAUAUAUAAGUUAUUAUCAAAGCUCAUGGGUGUCAACAAAUUCAGGUGGUAAAAAUGAUCUCUUAGGUUGAAACAAGAAGUCUGAGGUUUAAACUCUGCUUACAUGAAUGGAAGAGUGCUUUAUAUUACAAUAUACCAGUAUACAAACACACACACACACACACUAAAAUCUGAAAUAAAAAAAAAAUUGUUAUGAAAGUUUAAUAUGCAUUUCUGUAACACAUACACAGCAUAUUUAAUGCACUCAGUUAGCUAAUAUUAGUUAGGCACGUGGGCUUAUGAAUGGUAUUUAGUGUCAGACUCAUGCGCAAGUAUGCCCUCAUCGCUUAAGAGCAGUUAUUCAAGAAAACUUCAACUAUAAACUAACUUUUUGAGUAUGAGUUAGGCUCAAGUCUUUUUGAAACUGCACAACUUAAUAUCAUAGGCAAAACUUAAAAUUAAAUUUUGAUUGCUGAAAAACUAUUAAGUACUGGUUAAAUCAAGUCACUCACCGAAGGAAGCAAAGAGUAUGAAGAACGCAAAAAUAAGAGCAAAAGCUGUGGUAAUGCUAGCAACUGACUUAGCCAUUUUUGCACUUGCUUUGGUUUUAAUUUGAUGAAAUUGCUGAAGGCCCCAACCCCUAUUUAUACUUGGAUAUAAGCUGUCUCUUCGUCUCUAGCCAAGAUCCGCGAGAGACAAAGAAACAAUAAAUUAAUUAACCGGGGAAAUUUGAAUUAGACACUAAAAAAUGAAUUCACGCUCGGAUUAUUGACAAAAAAUUUUACAGUUUAUGCAAAUAAUUGUGAAUUAGAAUGACGUCCUGCCAAUUGCUAUAUUAUAUGCACUCUGAAGUAGUCUUAGGUAGUUGAAAUCUUCAAAUUUAAAUAUAAUACGCAAUGCGAACUUCAAUGACCCAUUCUUCCCCAUAACCUUGUCAUUGACAAAAGAUUUUACAGUUUAUUCAGAUAAUUGUGAAUUGAAAUAGUGUCCUGCCAAGUGCUCUAUUUCAUUAUUUCAUAUGCACUCUGAAGUAGUCUUAGUUAAAAUCUUAAAAUUUAAAUAUCAUAUUCAAUGCCCGACUUCAAUGACCCAUUCUUCCCUAUAACCUUGUUAAACCACCCUAUCGGAUUCUGUAUAUUCUAUUUAUUGUGUGGUUAAUUGUUCUUAUCAAUCGGAUCUAUGACAUACAGCGCUUCAUCUACGUAGCAAAAUGAUGGUGCAAGUAUAAUUUUCUAUUGCUAUAAACAGAAAAUUAAACGUUUUAUUCAUACUAUUACUUUUAUAAGUUUUAUGUAAACUUUUAAAGACCACAUUGAAAAGAUAAAUUCACUCUUGUUAUCAUUCAAUUUAGCUUAAGGUCAAUUUAUACCAGAAUAUUGAGAAGAUAGAAAGAACUUAAACAAUCAUACUAAAUAGAGGAUUUCUUCCAUAUUUUUAAUACUAUAAUGUCGAUGAUACGUACUAUUUUUACAUUCAAUGAUGAAAAUGAUUUUGGCUCAUAUUAGUCUUAAUAAAGAAGAAUUAAUAUUUAGGAUCAUAAAGUGAUCCCUUUUUUAUGAAAUUCUUAUUUAUUUCUGACAAAAAAUCUUAAAGAUAACAAGACAACUGAAGAGAAAAUUCCUCCAAACAUACAUAAAAACCAUGACAACAAAAAUGAAAAUGAGCCAAAGCAUUUCUUGAUUACAAAUUCUUGGGACAUAACAGAUUCGAAAAUCUUACUUUGAUACAGGUAAGUGUUAGAGAUUAGAAAUAAUAUGAAACAACUAUGUAUGAGUAUGAUGGAUACCCUAAAUCAGCUAAACAACGCACAACAUAGUCAUCCUAAUCUUAUUAAAGGGAUGUAUCUUCGACAACUUAUUUGAUCUCUUAUGCUGUGGGGGCCAAAUUCAUUUAUGUGGGGGAAAUUUGUGAACUAUGACCUUCAAAUUCUUGUACGUGUAAGGUAAGAACUCUCGUCUAAAAGCCUUGUUUUAUUAGGUGAUUAUUGACAUAGACAAAUAACAUAUAGCAAUUGAUUAGUGAUUACGACAAUGUUGAUGCGUAAUCAAAUAGAAUAUUUAUGAUUUUUUUAUGCUCAUCGGAUGUUAAUAAGAUAAGAAUCGCGAUGAAAAGUUCAUCAAUGUAUAUGGUACGCAUGUUGAUAGAGGACAAAAACAUUGUUUGAAAUUAAUAUUUUUUUGGGUUUAAAGGUAUUGGACUUUUCUUCUUUGACUAUGGAUAGUAGUUUUUUUUGGAAUCAAAUACAGUAUGAUUAUUUGAACAUAUUAAAAUACUCAAUAAACAUGUUUACUAAAAUACUCUUAUUAAAGAUUUCUCUCAUUGUUUCUUUUUCAACCCUCCAUCCACUCUUAAUUCUCUCCCAUCUUUUAUCUGCCAGUAUUGUCUUAUCUAGAAUAGAAAUUUAGGCUAUGGACAUCUAGUAAUAAAAAUUUAAAAACUUAAAUAAAAAAUGAAAAAAUGAGUCUAAUGAGCAAUUUUAUGGGUUCAAAUAAUUAAUUCCGCCUACUCAAGUGCCAGUAUUGUCCUAUCUAUAAUAUAAAUUUAGGCUAUGGACAUUCUAGUAAUAAAAAUUUAAAAACUUAAAUAAAAAAUGAGUCUAAUGAGUAAUUUUAUGGGUUCAAAUAAUUAAUUCCUUCUACUCAAGUAUUAUUCUUUUAUUUCUGGAUAAUAGUAACAAAGUACGAUUUCAAAGAUAACAAUUCAGAUGGGUAGGAAAGUCUUCCAAUAAAUAUUAGAUAUUUAAAUUAGUAGUUUGAAGAUAAAAUACUAGUAGGAUCAUUGGAGCGGGGACAUGACUGGAUUAGCAACAAUGUUUUUUUAAAAGGUAGAGAAUGUGGGUAAAAAUUAAAAUGCUUUUUUUAAUAUUUAACAUCAAUUAAAUAAGACUUCUUAAAAAAGUAGUUGGCUAGAUCCUGGAGGUGAUUACCUGCAAAAUUCAUUACAUUGAUGAAGGAGUAUCUAAUUAGCAGAUUUGAUAUUACUCCUAUAGUUAUAGGAUGGAUAAAAGUAUUAAUUGGAAAAAAGUGUUUAAUGGAGAAUAAAUGGUGGAUAUCAUUAUGUGGCUCGAACUCAUAUGCGAUACGCUAUUACUGCACUCCGCAUGAAGUGAAAAUAGAUUUGUUGGACAUCCCUUAUUCAUAUUUUUCUCAUUAGUCAUAAUUUGUCCCAUAGACAAUAACAAAUGUAGGAUUUUAAAAUGAAUAAAAAAGGUUCUUUUCAAUAAUCUCAUAUUUACAAAUUUUUAUUUUCUUUUAGUGUUUCCAAAAAAAGAGAAACAUGUAAAAAAAUAUAUAUUAGCUUGUUAUACGAUUCUUUUUGGUCAAGUAGUGACAGUGCUUCAUAUGUGGCUCGAACUCAUACGCAGAUACGCUAUUAUAAAUUGCAAUCCUACUAUAAUUAGGUUGAAUGACCAAAUGAAGAUACAAUAAUCUUGAACUCACAUAUAAAAUUGUAACAGUAGGAACAAAUAAUGUGAAACAUUAAACCAAACAAUAUUCAGUCAUAGUUCAAGGUAUACAUUUAUAAAAAAAAAAAAAAAGCACAAUAAACAUCGAUUAUUUUCAUGAAAAUAGCCACAUAUAACCAACAGUAAGGUUACUUAUUAUUUUAAAUAUUAUUUCGUGAAACAGCUGCAGCUACAUAGCUGACCAACACAACAGUAGCUUGUUAUUUCCAAACACAAGAGGAAUAAACACCCAAAAGCAGCAAAAGGCAUGAAUGCAGCUUCUUCAAGUUGAGUAACUAUAGCUAGCAAUUGAAGAAGCAGAAGCAGGCAAAACCAAGGCCAUCUCUGUGGCAAGCACCGCUACUUGCACCCUCGCGUUCUCGGCACUGUUUAUCACAGUCUUCUGUUACGAAGCACGGGCCAGUCCAAGUCUUACUACGCCGCUCGCAUAGUGCAGCCUCUGCCGGCUUUGCCAUUUCUGUAAUACACAACACUUACACAAAAUGAUUAAUUUCUAGUUAAUUAAAUUUUAUAAUGCAUGCGUGCUUGCAGAAACUUAUCAUCAUGAAGUACACAUCAAUGUCACUCACCGAACGAAGCGAAGAUGAUGAAGAAUGCAAAAAGAAGAGCAAAAGUCAUUGUAAAGCCAGAAACAGAUUUAGCCAUUUUUAAUUUUUAUUUGUUGCACUUGCUGAACUGGUUUAUUAUUUUCAUGAAAAUGGUAAGUGACCGUAGCCCAAUUUAUACACUUGCAAUGUAAGCUAUCCUUCCCUUUUUGAGAAAGUUUCGAUGAAAUUUUUAGACCUUACUAGUUUUUUAAUAUAUCGAUAAAGUGCAAGGUUUAAUUGUUGUUUUGUAACCAUCUCCCACGUUGGGAAUAUGUAAACAACAAAUAUAUCAGUACCAACAAAGACAGAUAAAUAUUUUCAGCCGAUGUGGCAAACAAGGUUGUGAGGCCAAAAUAAAAUAUUUACAAAAGUAAUGAGGUAAAAAUGUAAAAAUUUAAAAAUAGUUAAAUUUUAUAAUUUUAUAAUUAUUUUCAAAUCUUUUUCUUUUACGUUGCUUUCUAAAAAAUUUCAAAAAGUAAGCCGGGGUUUACCCUGAUUUUUUUUUUUUUUUUGGUUUUUUUAACUUUAAAAUUUCAAAGAUAAGUUAGGGUUGCCUUGAAAGCCUUUGCUAUAGGUUGCAUUACUUUUGAAAAAUUUUCAAAAAAGUCAGGGGUCACCUUGCGCAAACGCUCUUCCGCUUCUAUAUUUAUAUUAAUCUCGAACUUACUUCAAUAUAUAUCUAGUUUCCCUAUCAAGUGAUAACAUAACAUCACUGCUACAAUAAUCCUAAACUUUCAUAUUGUUGGGUGUGGGUACAUAGAGAUACAUCAACAAUGGUACAAUGAAACUUCAUCGGGGCCAGACCAAUAACUUAAUUAUAUCUAGGAUGUAAUGGAGGGGAAAAAAAUUCGAUCCUACACAAAUAAUUUUGGGAAAAGGACACAAGGACCCCCAACGUUUGAGUAAGGGACACAAAACUCCCUAAGGUUUUAAAAAAGAUACGCAGACCCCAAUUAAUUAACGGAAAUCGUUUCGUUAAAUCACUACAAGGUUAAUACCGUAAUUACAAAUUAAAAACAAGUGAAUUGACUAAAACCCACACACACAUCACACGGACAAACAAACCCCACACACACUGAUUCCAGACAAAUCUUUUAACACACACUCACGGUUUGCCUUGCCGAAAGCUGCUGGGGUUGCCGGAAGUUGCUGGAACUGGUCACGCUACUGGAAGCUGCUGGAACUGCUCGUGCGUCGAUCGAGACUGUGUCUGGUUGCCGGAUCUGCUCGCGAUCAACGUUUGGCUGCUGGUUGUGCUGUUGGAACUGCUGGAAUCUCGCGUUUGGCUGUUGGAACUGCUCGUGUUUGGUUGCUGCUCUUGCUUGUGGAAUCUCGCGUUUGGCUGCUGCUUGUGCUCGCGUUUGGUUGCUGAUCCUGCCUGUUGAAUCUCACGUUUGGCUGCUGCUCUUGCUUGUGGAAUCUCGCGUUUGGCUACUGCUUGUGCUCGCUUUUGGUUGCUGCUCUUGCUUGUGGAAUCCAGGGUUCAAUUCUCUUAAGUCCUAUUUUUUCUCUUUAAUUUUCAUUUUUUUUACUAAAUUAACUUCUCUAGCAUGUUUGAUGCAUAUGUGAUGUAUGUGCAAGAAUAUAAAUAAAUGAUUACGAGAAUUUUUUUUUUUUUUUUGUUUAUGGUUGUUUGAUGAACAGAGUUCUUAAUUUGUCUGAUUUAUUGGAGAUUUCUUGCUAAUUACUUUUGUUAUUUCUUUUCUUUAUCAAUUUUUAGAUGUGCAUGCAAUUUUCUUUAUCAAAUUUAUUUUGUUAUAUCUAACCAGUUGGGCUAGAAUUCUACCUAGGUGAGAUAUUAUGCAUUUUUUUAAUGGUCCUGGAGCAUGUGAAUUUUGUGCUUAAUUUAUUAAUGAAAAGAAUGUAUUGGUUUGCAGAUGGUUGAUCAGCCAUCCCAAAACCUGAAUACUCACUCACUUUAUUCUUUUGAACAAGAAGAUGAUGAAGCAUAUUGGUCAAAUGAUGACAAUGAAGACAUAACACCUGCUGAUGAUGAAAUAGGAUUAAAUUGGGAUGAUGAGGGAGUGGAUGUUGGGCAUAGUGAAGGUUGUGAAGAAGUGGAUUAUAAAGAUAGUGAAGAAGAAGAUAGAAUUCUUUCUAAUUGUGAGUCAGAUGAUAGAGAGCAUGGCCUGCUUUCUGAUUCUGAAGAUGAGCAAUCAUUUCAUUGUUCAAAAUCUAACCCCAAUGAAAUGAUUGAAAUCAGUGUUGGGCAGGAGUUCGACAAUGUCCAACAUUUCAGAAGAGUACUUGAAAACUACGUUAUUAAGAAUGGGUUUGAUCUUAAUAGAAUUAAGAAUGAGAAGAGAAGGUUCAGGGCAAAGUGUUCCAAUGAGGGCUGUCCGUGGUUUAUUUAUGCAGCACUAGUAGAAUCUGGGACAAAAUUCAGAAUUCAGAAGCUGAAUAAUGUACAUGAAUGUAAUGGAGUGUUAGAGAGCAAAGAGGCAUCAUAUAAAUGGAUUGCCUCUCAGUUUGAGGGAACUUUGAAGAACAACCCAAAAAUGCCAGUAAAGGGAAUGAAAGAUGAAUUGGUUUCUAAUUUAGGGAUUAAGGCAAGCAUGAAGAAAAUGUAUAGGGCCAAGAAAAGAGCAAUGGAUAAAUUAAAUGGGAACUAUGCAAAUUCUUAUCAGAGGCUAAGGGAUUAUGCCCAAAUACUCAAACAAAGCAAUCCCAAUACGUUAGUAAAGAUGAAAUUUGUGCCUAGUUUUGAUCAAGAUAGAAGACCAGCUUUGAAGUUUCAGAGAUUUAUGCUUAGCUUUGUUGCUUUGAAGAAUGGAUUCAUUAAUGGAUGUCGAUGGUUUAUUGGAUUGGAUGGUUGUCAUUUAAAGGGGCAUUUCAGAGGUGUACUAUUAUCAGCAGUGGCAUUAGAUGCAAACAAUGGAAUUUUUUCGAUUGCCGUUUGUAUUUGUGAAUCAGAAUGUGCUGAUAGUUGGAAAUGGUUUUUGGCAAUAUUGAGUGAGUGGUUGAACAUAGAGAAUCAAAGUCGAGUAACGUUUAGGACAGAUAGGCAAAAAGGAAUAUUACUAGGUUUGGAAGCAUAUUGGCAUGGUGCAACAGUGAGGCAUUGUGCCAGACAUAUAUUUGCUAACUUAAGAAGUAAUCAUCCUGAUAUCAUCUACAGAAACCUAUUUUGGACAGCAGCAAGAGCCACUAGUGAAAAAGAAUGGGAAGACAACAUGAACAAAAUAAAAACAGCUAAAAAAGACACGCAAGCUGCUUAUGAUUAUUUGAUUAAGAUUGACAAGAAACAGUGGGCUAGACAUGCAUUUCCUGAUGAUGUAAAAGUUGAUCAUGUAACUAACAACUUAAAUGAGUCAUGGAACAGCUGGUUAAAUGAAUACAAAGACAACCCUGUGUUGACACUUAUGGAAUUCAUUCGGAAGAAAGUUAUGAAAAGACUGUAUAAAAGGCAUUCUGAUGCAAGAAAAUGGAUUGGGAAGCUACCUCCAACUGUGAGGAGAAAGUUGAAUGUUUCCAGACAAGAAGGAAGAUAUGUAAGGGUGCUUAUGGCUAGUGAGUAUGAAUUUGAGGUAAUAGAUGAGAAUAAUAAAACAUUUAUAGUUAAUAUGCAGAAUAAAACUUGUGAUUGUGGUGUUUAUCAAAUUUGUGGGAUACCAUGUAAACAUAUCAUCCCAUGUAUUGCUUUAAGACAUGAAGAUGCUGCUGAUUAUGUGGAUAAAAAACUGACAGUGGAAGCAUAUUUGGCCACAUAUGCAAAUAUCAUACAUCCACUUCCAUAUCAAAGUACAUGGGCUGUUGUUGAAGGUCUAAAAGUCUUAUCUCCAUAUGUCAAAACAAGAGUUGGUAGGCCUAAAAUAGUGAGGAAAAGAGAGCCAGGGGAAGAACAAGGGAAAAGAAAGACCAAGCAAAAAUGUAGCUGUUGUGCAAUUUUCGGCCAUAAUAAAAGAUUAUAUAAAAGACCAAUUGAUUCCACUCAACACCCCUCAGGUAAGCCUAAAUUUCUUUUUUUUUUUAUUUUACUUUUUUAUAUAAAAAUAAAAUUUAUAUAUUAAUAUUUAUACAUUUAUCGUGCAGGAACAACCACACAAGAUAUGAGAUGAAGCUCACAAGCUAGUAAUCAGAGUUGUUAUACCAAUUUGUGAACAGAUUAUGUUUUUUUUUCAAAAAAUAUUAUGGUUAUUGUUGUAAUGUUUACCAGUACUAAUUUGAUACAAUAUUAUAAUACAAUUAUUUUUUGUUAUGUUUACUGGAUUGAUGGUUUUAAUGUCUAUUGGAUAUGUUAUUUAGUACAAUUAAGAUUUUGUAAUUAUUGUUGUAAAUAAUUUUUUUUUAUUUUGUUGAUUAUAUAAGUUUAAAUGAUUGACAUAUGGAGAAUUGUUAUUUUUAUUAUAUUAAUAAUCAAUUUAAUUUAUUUUUAUUCUUGAGCAAUGAAUUAAAUUUAUUUAGUUUGAAGAGAAAAAUUAACAAAAAUUAAAUGGAAAAAUUGGGUAAUGAAGUUAUAUUCGUAAUUAUAUUAAUAAUAUAGGGAUAAAUUGGACAAUGAACAAUUAGUUUUUAAUAUGCUAUAAGGGUAUAAUGGUAAUUGUACUUUAAAAUUAUAAUUUCACUCAAAAGAAACGGUUUCCGUUAACUAAUGGGGGUCUGAGUGUCUUUUUUGAAACAUGAGGGAGUUUUAUGUCCCUUAUUCAAACGUUGGGGGUCUCUGUGUCCUUUUCCCAAUAAUUUAUCAUCAUGUGUUAAGUGACGAUUGACUUUAUUAAUUAUUGGUACAAAAUUAAUAUGCCAAGCACAAAUGAUCAACUGAGAUACAAAAUCUUGGUUCUCCACUGCGUGUGUAUAUUAUACCAUGUAAUGUUGUUAUCACCACCCAAAACUCUCUCCGAAUUAAGUAGGUAUAGGCGCUAAUUCAUCACAAGAUUAUUACUGCACUCGCAUGAAGUGAAAAUAGAUUUGUUGGAUAUCCCUUAUUCAUAUUUUUUCUCAUUAGUCAUAAUUGUCCCAUAGACAAUAACAAAUGUAGGAUUUUAAAAUGAAUAAAAAAGUUCUUUUCAAUAAUCUCAUAUUUACAAAUUAUAUUUUCUUUUAGUGUUUCCAAAAAAGAGGAACAUGUAAAAAAUAUAUAUUAGCUUGUUAUACGACUCUUUUUGGUCAAGUGAUAGUGCUUCAGGUAAUUUUUAUAAAUAAAAUUAAGUUUUGUUUCAAAUAAGCACUCCCCCCCUAAAAAAAAAAGAAGGGGAGAAGGCAAAACCCAGAUUGAUUUCUUAGCGUUACUUUUCUCAAAAUCCAGACUCAAGUGGUCGGGCAAAGAAAUUUGCGUAAAAACCACUCGGUCAAGACCUUUGGCCUCAUUGAGUACUCAUUGAUGGCGAUAUAAUUAAUUAAUUCUAAUGUGACCAACUCAUUUGCACGUGAGAGAAAAUGAAUGUUAAUUAUACUUCACCAGCAACUAUAUCCAAUUUUGUUAUUUUAUAUUAUUAAGUCUCAAGAUGGUUAUGUUUCAUACACAUUUAACUAAUUAAGAACAUAAUAAAUACUUAUAUGGAAUAAAUAAUUUUCAUAAUAGUACAUGAAUGUUCAUUCCUGGUGCUUGCGUAUCAUAGUAAUAUAAAUAGCGUGAAGAGAUGGAGUAAUAACUUAUAAUUAGAUUUGUAGAGUGUGGCUCAUUAUAUUAGAAUAACACAAACAAGCAAUACAACAAAGACGCAACAAACAUUGACUCGUUCCUUAUUCAGAAGCUACGUACGGUAUAGUUAUGGCUAACCGUACACUGUACGUAGCUUGUUAUUGUUCUAAACACAAGACGACUGAAACGAGACACAUCACACGAACGACAGCAAAUAAUUAAGGUAGCCACAGCUAGCUUUCGCUGCUAACGAUGGAUAUAAUUUCUUUCAUUGAUAAGCAACUAGCACUCGAAGUAACAGAAGCACGCAUAACCAGUUCCUUGUCUGUAGCAAGCCCCGUACCUUGCAUCCUCCUGCUGCUUGCAGUGCCUGCUACAUUUCCCCGUGUUGAGACACGGCCCCGACCAUGUCUUGCUACGCCGCUGGCACACUUUUGCUUCCGCCAUUGGCACUUCUGUAACAAGCAUACAAAAUCAUUAACGUGCACUUAGAUAUAUAAGUUAUUAUCAAAGCUCAUGGGUGUCAACAAAUUCAGGUGGUAAAAUGAUCUCUUAGGUUGAAACAAGAAGUCUGAGGUUUAAACUCUGCUUACAUGAAUGGAAGAGUGCUUUAUAUUACAAUAUACCAGUAUACAAACACACACACACACACACUAAAAUCUGAAAUAAAAAAAAAAUUGUUAUGAAAGUUUAAUAUGCAUGCAUAUGAAACAUAUAUAUGAUUUUGCUUCCCCUCUGGCAUUUCUGUAACACAUACACAGCAUAUUUAAUGCACUCAGUUAGCUAAUAUUAGUUAGGCACGUGGGCUUAUGAAUGGUAUUUAGUGUCAGACUCAUGCGCAAGUAUGCCCUCAUCGCUUAAGAGCAGUUAUUCAAGAAAACUUCAACUAUAAACUAACUUUUUGAGUAUGAGUUAGGCUCAAGUCUUUUUGAAACUGCACAACUUAAUAUCAUAGGCAAAACUUAAAAUUAAAUUUUGAUUGCUGAAAAACUAUUAAGUACUGGUUAACAUCAAGUCACUCACCGAAGGAAGCAAAGAGUAUGAAGAACGCAAAAAUAAGAGCAAAAGCUGUGGUAAUGCUAGCAACUGACUUAGCCAUUUUUGCACUUGCUUUGGUUUUAAUUUGAUGAAAUUGCUGAAGGCCCCAACCCCUAUUUAUACUUGGAUAUAAGCUGUCUCUUCGUCUCUAGCCAAGAUCCGCGAGAGACAAAGAAACAAUAAAUUAAUUAACCGGGGAAAUUUGAAUUAGACACUAAAAAAUGAAUUCACGCUCGGAUUAUUGACAAAAAAUUUUACAGUUUAUGCAAAUAAUUGUGAAUUAGAAUGACGUCCUGCCAAUUGCUAUAUUAUAUGCACUCUGAAGUAGUCUUAGGUAGUUGAAAUCUUCAAAUUUAAAUAUAAUACGCAAUGCGAACUUCAAUGACCCAUUCUUCCCCAUAACCUUGUCAUUGACAAAAGAUUUUACAGUUUAUUCAGAUAAUUGUGAAUUGAAAUAGUGUCCUGCCAAGUGCUCUAUUUCAUUAUUUCAUAUGCACUCUGAAGUAGUCUUAGUUAAAAUCUUAAAAUUUAAAUAUCAUAUUCAAUGCCCGACUUCAAUGACCCAUUCUUCCCUAUAACCUUGUUAAACCACCCUAUCGGAUUCUGUAUAUUCUAUUUAUUGUGUGGUUAAUUGUUCUUAUCAAUCGGAUCUAUGACAUACAGCGCUUCAUCUACGUAGCAAAAUGAUGGUGCAAGUAUAAUUUUCUAUUGCUAUAAACAGAAAAUUAAACGUUUUAUUCAUACUAUUACUUUUAUAAGUUUUAUGUAAACUUUUAAAGACCACAUUGAAAAGAUAAAUUCACUCUUGUUAUCAUUCAAUUUAGCUUAAGGUCAAUUUAUACCAGAAUAUUGAGAAGAUAGAAAGAACUUAAACAAUCAUACUAAAUAGAGGAUUUCUUCCAUAUUUUUAAUACUAUAAUGUCGAUGAUACGUACUAUUUUUACAUUCAAUGAUGAAAAUGAUUUUGGCUCAUAUUAGUCUUAAUAAAGAAGAAUUAAUAUUUAGGAUCAUAAAGUGAUCCCUUUUUUAUGAAAUUCUUAUUUAUUUCUGACAAAAAAUCUUAAAGAUAACAAGACAACUGAAGAGAAAAUUCCUCCAAACAUACAUAAAAACCAUGACAACAAAAAUGAAAAUGAGCCAAAGCAUUUCUUGAUUACAAAUUCUUGGGACAUAACAGAUUCGAAAAUCUUACUUUGAUACAGGUAAGUGUUAGAGAUUAGAAAUAAUAUGAAACAACUAUGUAUGAGUAUGAUGGAUACCCUAAAUCAGCUAAACAACGCACAACAUAGUCAUCCUAAUCUUAUUAAAGGGAUGUAUCUUCGACAACUUAUUUGAUCUCUUAUGCUGUGGGGGCCAAAUUCAUUUAUGUGGGGGAAAUUUGUGAACUAUGACCUUCAAAUUCUUGUACGUGUAAGGUAAGAACUCUCGUCUAAAAGCCUUGUUUUAUUAGGUGAUUAUUGACAUAGACAAAUAACAUAUAGCAAUUGAUUAGUGAUUACGACAAUGUUGAUGCGUAAUCAAAUAGAAUAUUUAUGAUUUUUUUAUGCUCAUCGGAUGUUAAUAAGAUAAGAAUCGCGAUGAAAAGUUCAUCAAUGUAUAUGGUACGCAUGUUGAUAGAGGACAAAAACAUUGUUUGAAAUUAAUAUUUUUUUGGGUUUAAAGGUAUUGGACUUUUCUUCUUUGACUAUGGAUAGUAGUUUUUUUUGGAAUCAAAUACAGUAUGAUUAUUUGAACAUAUUAAAAUACUCAAUAAACAUGUUUACUAAAAUACUCUUAUUAAAGAUUUCUCUCAUUGUUUCUUUUUCAACCCUCCAUCCACUCUUAAUUCUCUCCCAUCUUUUAUCUGCCAGUAUUGUCUUAUCUAGAAUAGAAAUUUAGGCUAUGGACAUCUAGUAAUAAAAAUUUAAAAACUUAAAUAAAAAAUGAAAAAAUGAGUCUAAUGAGCAAUUUUAUGGGUUCAAAUAAUUAAUUCCGCCUACUCAAGUGCCAGUAUUGUCCUAUCUAUAAUAUAAAUUUAGGCUAUGGACAUUCUAGUAAUAAAAAUUUAAAAACUUAAAUAAAAAAUGAGUCUAAUGAGUAAUUUUAUGGGUUCAAAUAAUUAAUUCCUUCUACUCAAGUAUUAUUCUUUUAUUUCUGGAUAAUAGUAACAAAGUACGAUUUCAAAGAUAACAAUUCAGAUGGGUAGGAAAGUCUUCCAAUAAAUAUUAGAUAUUUAAAUUAGUAGUUUGAAGAUAAAAUACUAGUAGGAUCAUGGAGCGGGGACAUGACUGGAUUAGCAACAAUGUUUUUUAAAAGGUAGAGAUGUGGGUAAAAAUUAAAAUGCUUUUUUAAUAUUUAACAUCAAUUAAAUAAGACUUCUUAAAAAGUAGUUGGCUAGAUCCUGGAGGUGAUUACCUGCAAAAUUCAUUACAUUGAUGAAGGAGUAUCUAAUUAGCAGAUUUGAUAUUACUCCUAUAGUUAUAGGAUGGAUAAAAGUAUUAAUUGGAAAAAAGUGUUAAUGGAGAAUAAAUGGUGGAUAUCAUUAUGUGGCUCGAACUCAUAUGCAGAUACGCUAUUACUGCACUCGCAUGAAGUGAAAAUAGAUUUGUUGGACAUCCCUUAUUCAUAUUUUUUCUCAUUAGUCAUAAUUGUCCCAUAGACAAUAACAAAUGUAGGAUUUUAAAAUGAAUAAAAAAGGUUCUUUUCAAUAAUCUCAUAUUUACAAAUUUUAUUUUCUUUUAGUGUUUCCAAAAAAGAGAAACAUGUAAAAAAUAUAUAUUAGCUUGUUAUACGAUUCUUUUUGGUCAAGUAGUGACAGUGCUUCAUAUGUGGCUCGAACUCAUACGCAGAUACGCUAUUAUAAAUUGCAAUCCUACCUAUAAUUAGGUUGAAUGACCAAAUGAAGAUACAAUAAUCUUGAACUCACAUAUAAAAUUGUAACAGUAGGAACAAAUAAUGUGAAACAUUAAACCAAACAAUAUUCAGUCAUAGUUCAAGGUAUACAUUUAUAAAAAAAAAAAAAAGCACAAUAAACAUCGAUUAUUUUCAUGAAAAUAGCCACAUAUAACCAACAGUAAGGUUACUUAUUAUUUUAAAUAUUAUUUCGUGAAACAGCUGCAGCUACAUAGCUGACCAACACAACAGUAGCUUGUUAUUUCCAAACACAAGAGGAAUAAACACCCAAAAGCAGCAAAAGGCAUGAAUGCAGCUUCUUCAAGUUGAGUAACUAUAGCUAGCAAUUGAAGAAGCAGAAGCAGGCAAAACCAAGGCCAUCUCUGUGGCAAGCACCGCUACUUGCACCCUCGCGUUCUCGGCACUGUUUAUCACAGUCUUCUGUUACGAAGCACGGGCCAGUCCAAGUCUUACUACGCCGCUCGCAUAGUGCAGCCUCUGCCGGCUUUGCCAUUUCUGUAAUACACAACACUUACACAAAAUGAUUAAUUUCUAGUUAAUUAAAUUUUAUAAUGCAUGCGUGCUUGCAGAAACUUAUCAUCAUGAAGUACACAUCAAUGUCACUCACCGAACGAAGCGAAGAUGAUGAAGAAUGCAAAAAGAAGAGCAAAAGUCAUUGUAAAGCCAGAAACAGAUUUAGCCAUUUUAAUUUUUAUUUGUUGCACUUGCUGAACUGGUUUAUUAUUUCAUGAAAAUGGUAAGUGACCGUAGCCCCAAUUUAUACACUUGCAAUGUAAGCUAUCCCUUCCCUUUUUGAGAAAGUUUCGAUGAAAUUUUUAGACCUUACUAGUUUUUUAAUAUAUCGAUAAAGUGCAAGGUUUAAUUGUUGUUUUGUAACCAUCUCCCACGUUGGGAAUAUGUAAACAACAAAUAUAUCAGUACCAACAAAGACAGAUAAAUAUUUUCAGCCGAUGUGGCAAACAAGGUUGUGAGGCCAAAAUAAAAUAUUUACAAAGUAAUGAGGUAAAAAUGUAAAAUUUAAAAAUAGUUAAAUUUUAUAAUUUUAUAAUUAUUUUCAAAUCUUUUUCUUUUACGUUGCUUUCUAAAAAAUUUCAAAAAGUAAGCCGGGGUUUACCCUGAUUUUUUUUUUUUUUUUGGUUUUUUUAACUUUAAAAUUUCAAAGAUAAGUUAGGGUUGCCUUGAAAGCCUUUGCUAUAGGUUGCAUUACUUUUGAAAAAUUUUCAAAAAGUCAGGGGUCACCUUGCGCAAACGCUCUUCCGCUUCUAUAUUUAUAUUAAUCUCGAACUUACUUCAAUAUAUAUCUAGUUUCCCUAUCAAGUGAUAACAUAACAUCACUGCUACAAUAAUCCUAAACUUUCAUAUUGUUGGGUGUGGGUACAUAGAGAUACAUCAACAAUGGUACAAUGAAACUUCAUCGGGGCCAGACCAAUAACUUAAUUAUAUCUAGGAUGUAAUGGGAGGGGAAAAAAAUUCGAUCCUACACAAAUAAUUUUGGGAAAAGGACACAAGGACCCCCAACGUUUGAGUAAGGGACACAAAACUCCCUAAGGUUUUAAAAAAGAUACGCAGACCCCAAUUAAUUAACGGAAAUCGUUUCGUUAAAUCACUACAAGGUUAAUACCGUAAUUACAAAUUAAAAACAAGUGAAUUGACUAAAACCCACACACACAUCACACGGACAAACAAACCCCACACACACUGAUUCCAGACAAAUCUUUUAACACACACUCACGGUUUGCCUUGCCGAAAGCUGCUGGGGUUGCCGGAAGUUGCUGGAACUGGUCACGCUACUGGAAGCUGCUGGAACUGCUCGUGCGUCGAUCGAGACUGUGUCUGGUUGCCGGAUCUGCUCGCGAUCAACGUUUGGCUGCUGGUUGUGCUGUUGGAACUGCUGGAAUCUCGCGUUUGGCUGUUGGAACUGCUCGUGUUUGGUUGCUGCUCUUGCUUGUGGAAUCUCGCGUUUGGCUGCUGCUUGUGCUCGCGUUUGGUUGCUGAUCCUGCCUGUUGAAUCUCACGUUUGGCUGCUGCUCUUGCUUGUGGAAUCUCGCGUUUGGCUACUGCUUGUGCUCGCUUUUGGUUGCUGCUCUUGCUUGUGGAAUCCAGGGUUCAAUUCUCUUAAGUCCUAUUUUUUCUCUUUAAUUUUCAUUUUUUUUACUAAAUUAACUUCUCUAGCAUGUUUGAUGCAUAUGUGAUGUAUGUGCAAGAAUAUAAAUAAAUGAUUACGAGAAUUUUUUUUUUUUUUUGUUUAUGGUUGUUUGAUGAACAGAGUUCUUAAUUUGUCUGAUUUAUUGGAGAUUUCUUGCUAAUUACUUUUGUUAUUUCUUUUCUUUAUCAAUUUUUAGAUGUGCAUGGAAUUUUCUUUAUCAAAUUUAUUUUGUUAUAUCUAACCAGUUGGGCUAGAAUUCUACCUAGGUGAGAUAUUAUGCAUUUUUUUAAUGGUCCUGGAGCAUGUGAAUUUUGUGCUUAAUUUAUUAAUGAAAAGAAUGUAUUGGUUUGCAGAUGGUUGAUCAGCCAUCCCAAAACCUGAAUACUCACUCACUUUAUUCUUUUGAACAAGAAGAUGAUGAAGCAUAUUGGUCAAAUGAUGACAAUGAAGACAUAACACCUGCUGAUGAUGAAAUAGGAUUAAAUUGGGAUGAUGAGGGAGUGGAUGUUGGGCAUAGUGAAGGUUGUGAAGAAGUGGAUUAUAAAGAUAGUGAAGAAGAAGAUAGAAUUCUUUCUAAUUGUGAGUCAGAUGAUAGAGAGCAUGGCCUGCUUUCUGAUUCUGAAGAUGAGCAAUCAUUUCAUUGUUCAAAAUCUAACCCCAAUGAAAUGAUUGAAAUCAGUGUUGGGCAGGAGUUCGACAAUGUCCAACAUUUCAGAAGAGUACUUGAAAACUACGUUAUUAAGAAUGGGUUUGAUCUUAAUAGAAUUAAGAAUGAGAAGAGAAGGUUCAGGGCAAAGUGUUCCAAUGAGGGCUGUCCGUGGUUUAUUUAUGCAGCACUAGUAGAAUCUGGGACAAAAUUCAGAAUUCAGAAGCUGAAUAAUGUACAUGAAUGUAAUGGAGUGUUAGAGAGCAAAGAGGCAUCAUAUAAAUGGAUUGCCUCUCAGUUUGAGGGAACUUUGAAGAACAACCCAAAAAUGCCAGUAAAGGGAAUGAAAGAUGAAUUGGUUUCUAAUUUAGGGAUUAAGGCAAGCAUGAAGAAAAUGUAUAGGGCCAAGAAAAGAGCAAUGGAUAAAUUAAAUGGGAACUAUGCAAAUUCUUAUCAGAGGCUAAGGGAUUAUGCCCAAAUACUCAAACAAAGCAAUCCCAAUACGUUAGUAAAGAUGAAAUUUGUGCCUAGUUUUGAUCAAGAUAGAAGACCAGCUUUGAAGUUUCAGAGAUUUAUGCUUAGCUUUGUUGCUUUGAAGAAUGGAUUCAUUAAUGGAUGUCGAUGGUUUAUUGGAUUGGAUGGUUGUCAUUUAAAGGGGCAUUUCAGAGGUGUACUAUUAUCAGCAGUGGCAUUAGAUGCAAACAAUGGAAUUUUUUCGAUUGCCGUUUGUAUUUGUGAAUCAGAAUGUGCUGAUAGUUGGAAAUGGUUUUUGGCAAUAUUGAGUGAGUGGUUGAACAUAGAGAAUCAAAGUCGAGUAACGUUUAGGACAGAUAGGCAAAAAGGAAUAUUACUAGGUUUGGAAGCAUAUUGGCAUGGUGCAACAGUGAGGCAUUGUGCCAGACAUAUAUUUGCUAACUUAAGAAGUAAUCAUCCUGAUAUCAUCUACAGAAACCUAUUUUGGACAGCAGCAAGAGCCACUAGUGAAAAAGAAUGGGAAGACAACAUGAACAAAAUAAAAACAGCUAAAAAAGACACGCAAGCUGCUUAUGAUUAUUUGAUUAAGAUUGACAAGAAACAGUGGGCUAGACAUGCAUUUCCUGAUGAUGUAAAAGUUGAUCAUGUAACUAACAACUUAAAUGAGUCAUGGAACAGCUGGUUAAAUGAAUACAAAGACAACCCUGUGUUGACACUUAUGGAAUUCAUUCGGAAGAAAGUUAUGAAAAGACUGUAUAAAAGGCAUUCUGAUGCAAGAAAAUGGAUUGGGAAGCUACCUCCAACUGUGAGGAGAAAGUUGAAUGUUUCCAGACAAGAAGGAAGAUAUGUAAGGGUGCUUAUGGCUAGUGAGUAUGAAUUUGAGGUAAUAGAUGAGAAUAAUAAAACAUUUAUAGUUAAUAUGCAGAAUAAAACUUGUGAUUGUGGUGUUUAUCAAAUUUGUGGGAUACCAUGUAAACAUAUCAUCCCAUGUAUUGCUUUAAGACAUGAAGAUGCUGCUGAUUAUGUGGAUAAAAAACUGACAGUGGAAGCAUAUUUGGCCACAUAUGCAAAUAUCAUACAUCCACUUCCAUAUCAAAGUACAUGGGCUGUUGUUGAAGGUCUAAAAGUCUUAUCUCCAUAUGUCAAAACAAGAGUUGGUAGGCCUAAAAUAGUGAGGAAAAGAGAGCCAGGGGAAGAACAAGGGAAAAGAAAGACCAAGCAAAAAUGUAGCUGUUGUGCAAUUUUCGGCCAUAAUAAAAGAUUAUAUAAAAGACCAAUUGAUUCCACUCAACACCCCUCAGGUAAGCCUAAAUUUCUUUUUUUUUUUUAUUUUACUUUUUUAUAUAAAAAUAAAAUUUAUAUAUUAAUAUUUAUACAUUUAUCGUGCAGGAACAACCACACAAGAUAUGAGAUGAAGCUCACAAGCUAGUAAUCAGAGUUGUUAUACCAAUUUGUGAACAGAUUAUGUUUUUUUUUCAAAAAAUAUUAUGGUUAUUGUUGUAAUUUUUACCAGUACUAAUUUGAUACAAUAUUAUAAUACAAUUAUUUUUUGUUAUGUUUACUGGAUUGAUGGUUUUAAUGUCUAUUGGAUAUGUUAUUUAGUACAAUUAAGAUUUUGUAAUUAUUGUUGUAAAUAAUUUUUUUUUAUUUUGUUGAUUAUAUAAGUUUAAAUGAUUGACAUAUGGAGAAUUGUUAUUUUUAUUAUAUUAAUAAUCAAUUUAAUUUAUUUUUAUUCUUGAGCAAUGAAUUAAAUUUAUUUAGUUUGAAGAGAAAAAUUAACAAAAAUUAAAUGGAAAAAUUGGGUAAUGAAGUUAUAUUCGUAAUUAUAUUAAUAAUAUAGGGAUAAAUUGGACAAUGAACAAUUAGUUUUUAAUAUGCUAUAAGGGUAUAAUGGUAAUUGUACUUUAAAAUUAUAAUUUCACUCAAAAGAAACGGUUUCCGUUAACUAAUGGGGGUCUGAGUGUCUUUUUUGAAACAUGAGGGGGUUUUAUGUCCCUUAUUCAAACGUUGGGGGUCUCUGUGUCCUUUUCCCAAUAAUUUAUCAUCAUGUGUUAAGUGACGAUUGACUUUAUUAAUUAUUGGUACAAAAUUAAUAUGCCAAGCACAAAUGAUCAACUGAGAUACAAAAUCUUGGUUCUCCACUGCGUGUGUAUAUUAUACCAUGUAAUGUUGUUAUCACCACCCAAAACUCUCUCCGAAUUAAGUAGGUAUAGGCGCUAAUUCAUCACAAGAUUAUUACUGCACUCGCAUGAAGUGAAAAUAGAUUUGUUGGAUAUCCCUUAUUCAUAUUUUUUCUCAUUAGUCAUAAUUGUCCCAUAGACAAUAACAAAUGUAGGAUUUUAAAAUGAAUAAAAAAGUUCUUUUCAAUAAUCUCAUAUUUACAAAUUAUAUUUUCUUUUAGUGUUUCCAAAAAAGAGGAACAUGUAAAAAAUAUAUAUUAGCUUGUUAUACGACUCUUUUUGGUCAAGUGAUAGUGCUUCAGGUAAUUUUUAUAAAUAAAAUUAAGUUUUGUUUCAAAUAAGCACUCCCCCCCUAAAAAAAAAAGAAGGGGAGAAGGCAAAACCCAGAUUGAUUUCUUAGCGUUACUUUUCUCAAAAUCCAGACUCAAGUGGUCGGGCAAAGAAAUUUGCGUAAAAACCACUCGGUCAAGACCUUUGGCCUCAUUGAGUACUCAUUGAUGGCGAUAUAAUUAAUUAAUUCUAAUGUGACCAACUCAUUUGCACGUGAGAGAAAAUGAAUGUUAAUUAUACUUCACCAGCAACUAUAUCCAAUUUUGUUAUUUUAUAUUAUUAAGUCUCAAGAUGGUUAUGUUUCAUACACAUUUAACUAAUUAAGAACAUAAUAAAUACUUAUAUGGAAUAAAUAAUUUUCAUAAUAGUACAUGAAUGUUCAUUCCUGGUGCUUGCGUAUCAUAGUAAUAUAAAUAGCGUGAAGAGAUGGAGUAAUAACUUAUAAUUAGAUUUGUAGAGUGUGGCUCAUUAUAUUAGAAUAACACAAACAAGCAAUACAACAAAGACGCAACAAACAUUGACUCGUUCCUUAUUCAGAAGCUACGUACGGUAUAGUUAUGGCUAACCGUACACUGUACGUAGCUUGUUAUUGUUCUAAACACAAGACGACUGAAACGAGACACAUCACACGAACGACAGCAAAUAAUUAAGGUAGCCACAGCUAGCUUUCGCUGCUAACGAUGGAUAUAAUUUCUUUCAUUGAUAAGCAACUAGCACUCGAAGUAACAGAAGCACGCAUAACCAGUUCCUUGUCUGUAGCAAGCCCCGUACCUUGCAUCCUCCUGCUGCUUGCAGUGCCUGCUACAUUUCCCCGUGUUGAGACACGGCCCCGACCAUGUCUUGCUACGCCGCUGGCACACUUUUGCUUCCGCCAUUGGCACUUCUGUAACAAGCAUACAAAAUCAUUAACGUGCACUUAGAUAUAUAAGUUAUUAUCAAAGCUCAUGGGUGUCAACAAAUUCAGGUGGUAAAAUGAUCUCUUAGGUUGAAACAAGAAGUCUGAGGUUUAAACUCUGCUUACAUGAAUGGAAGAGUGCUUUAUAUUACAAUAUACCAGUAUACAAACACACACACACACACACUAAAAUCUGAAAUAAAAAAAAAAUUGUUAUGAAAGUUUAAUAUGCAUGCAUAUGAAACAUAUAUAUGAUUUUGCUUCCCCUCUGGCAUUUCUGUAACACAUACACAGCAUAUUUAAUGCACUCAGUUAGCUAAUAUUAGUUAGGCACGUGGGCUUAUGAAUGGUAUUUAGUGUCAGACUCAUGCGCAAGUAUGCCCUCAUCGCUUAAGAGCAGUUAUUCAAGAAAACUUCAACUAUAAACUAACUUUUUGAGUAUGAGUUAGGCUCAAGUCUUUUUGAAACUGCACAACUUAAUAUCAUAGGCAAAACUUAAAAUUAAAUUUUGAUUGCUGAAAAACUAUUAAGUACUGGUUAACAUCAAGUCACUCACCGAAGGAAGCAAAGAGUAUGAAGAACGCAAAAAUAAGAGCAAAAGCUGUGGUAAUGCUAGCAACUGACUUAGCCAUUUUUGCACUUGCUUUGGUUUUAAUUUGAUGAAAUUGCUGAAGGCCCCAACCCCUAUUUAUACUUGGAUAUAAGCUGUCUCUUCGUCUCUAGCCAAGAUCCGCGAGAGACAAAGAAACAAUAAAUUAAUUAACCGGGGAAAUUUGAAUUAGACACUAAAAAAUGAAUUCACGCUCGGAUUAUUGACAAAAAAUUUUACAGUUUAUGCAAAUAAUUGUGAAUUAGAAUGACGUCCUGCCAAUUGCUAUAUUAUAUGCACUCUGAAGUAGUCUUAGGUAGUUGAAAUCUUCAAAUUUAAAUAUAAUACGCAAUGCGAACUUCAAUGACCCAUUCUUCCCCAUAACCUUGUCAUUGACAAAAGAUUUUACAGUUUAUUCAGAUAAUUGUGAAUUGAAAUAGUGUCCUGCCAAGUGCUCUAUUUCAUUAUUUCAUAUGCACUCUGAAGUAGUCUUAGUUAAAAUCUUAAAAUUUAAAUAUCAUAUUCAAUGCCCGACUUCAAUGACCCAUUCUUCCCUAUAACCUUGUUAAACCACCCUAUCGGAUUCUGUAUAUUCUAUUUAUUGUGUGGUUAAUUGUUCUUAUCAAUCGGAUCUAUGACAUACAGCGCUUCAUCUACGUAGCAAAAUGAUGGUGCAAGUAUAAUUUUCUAUUGCUAUAAACAGAAAAUUAAACGUUUUAUUCAUACUAUUACUUUUAUAAGUUUUAUGUAAACUUUUAAAGACCACAUUGAAAAGAUAAAUUCACUCUUGUUAUCAUUCAAUUUAGCUUAAGGUCAAUUUAUACCAGAAUAUUGAGAAGAUAGAAAGAACUUAAACAAUCAUACUAAAUAGAGGAUUUCUUCCAUAUUUUUAAUACUAUAAUGUCGAUGAUACGUACUAUUUUUACAUUCAAUGAUGAAAAUGAUUUUGGCUCAUAUUAGUCUUAAUAAAGAAGAAUUAAUAUUUAGGAUCAUAAAGUGAUCCCUUUUUUAUGAAAUUCUUAUUUAUUUCUGACAAAAAAUCUUAAAGAUAACAAGACAACUGAAGAGAAAAUUCCUCCAAACAUACAUAAAAACCAUGACAACAAAAAUGAAAAUGAGCCAAAGCAUUUCUUGAUUACAAAUUCUUGGGACAUAACAGAUUCGAAAAUCUUACUUUGAUACAGGUAAGUGUUAGAGAUUAGAAAUAAUAUGAAACAACUAUGUAUGAGUAUGAUGGAUACCCUAAAUCAGCUAAACAACGCACAACAUAGUCAUCCUAAUCUUAUUAAAGGGAUGUAUCUUCGACAACUUAUUUGAUCUCUUAUGCUGUGGGGGCCAAAUUCAUUUAUGUGGGGGAAAUUUGUGAACUAUGACCUUCAAAUUCUUGUACGUGUAAGGUAAGAACUCUCGUCUAAAAGCCUUGUUUUAUUAGGUGAUUAUUGACAUAGACAAAUAAAAUAUAGCAAUUGAUUAGUGAUUACGACAAUGUUGAUGCGUAAUCAAAUAGAAUAUUUAUGAUUUUUUUAUGCUCAUCGGAUGUUAAUAAGAUAAGAAUCGCGAUGAAAAGUUCAUCAAUGUAUAUGGUACGCAUGUUGAUAGAGGACAAAAACAUUGUUUGAAAUUAAUAUUUUUUUGGGUUUAAAGGUAUUGGACUUUUCUUCUUUGACUAUGGAUAGUAGUUUUUUUUUGGAAUCAAAUACAGUAUGAUUAUUUGAACAUAUUAAAAUACUCAAUAAACAUGUUUACUAAAAUACUCUUAUUAAAGAUUUCUCUCAUUGUUUCUUUUUCAACCCUCCAUCCACUCUUAAUUCUCUCCCAUCUUUUAUCUGCCAGUAUUGUCUUAUCUAGAAUAGAAAUUUAGGCUAUGGACAUCUAGUAAUAAAAAUUUAAAAACUUAAAUAAAAAAUGAAAAAAUGAGUCUAAUGAGCAAUUUUAUGGGUUCAAAUAAUUAAUUCCGCCUACUCAAGUGCCAGUAUUGUCCUAUCUAUAAUAUAAAUUUAGGCUAUGGACAUUCUAGUAAUAAAAAUUUAAAAACUUAAAUAAAAAAUGAGUCUAAUGAGUAAUUUUAUGGGUUCAAAUAAUUAAUUCCUUCUACUCAAGUAUUAUUCUUUUAUUUCUGGAUAAUAGUAACAAAGUACGAUUUCAAAGAUAACAAUUCAGAUGGGUAGGAAAGUCUUCCAAUAAAUAUUAGAUAUUUAAAUUAGUAGUUUGAAGAUAAAAUACUAGUAGGAUCAUGGAGCGGGGACAUGACUGGAUUAGCAACAAUGUUUUUUAAAAGGUAGAGAUGUGGGUAAAAAUUAAAAUGCUUUUUUAAUAUUUAACAUCAAUUAAAUAAGACUUCUUAAAAAGUAGUUGGCUAGAUCCUGGAGGUGAUUACCUGCAAAAUUCAUUACAUUGAUGAAGGAGUAUCUAAUUAGCAGAUUUGAUAUUACUCCUAUAGUUAUAGGAUGGAUAAAAGUAUUAAUUGGAAAAAAGUGUUAAUGGAGAAUAAAUGGUGGAUAUCAUUAUGUGGCUCGAACUCAUAUGCAGAUACGCUAUUACUGCACUCGCAUGAAGUGAAAAUAGAUUUGUUGGACAUCCCUUAUUCAUAUUUUUUCUCAUUAGUCAUAAUUGUCCCAUAGACAAUAACAAAUGUAGGAUUUUAAAAUGAAUAAAAAAGGUUCUUUUCAAUAAUCUCAUAUUUACAAAUUUUAUUUUCUUUUAGUGUUUCCAAAAAAGAGAAACAUGUAAAAAAUAUAUAUUAGCUUGUUAUACGAUUCUUUUUGGUCAAGUAGUGACAGUGCUUCAUAUGUGGCUCGAACUCAUACGCAGAUACGCUAUUAUAAAUUGCAAUCCUACCUAUAAUUAGGUUGAAUGACCAAAUGAAGAUACAAUAAUCUUGAACUCACAUAUAAAAUUGUAACAGUAGGAACAAAUAAUGUGAAACAUUAAACCAAACAAUAUUCAGUCAUAGUUCAAGGUAUACAUUUAUAAAAAAAAAAAAAAAGCACAAUAAACAUCGAUUAUUUUCAUGAAAAUAGCCACAUAUAACCAACAGUAAGGUUACUUAUUAUUUUAAAUAUUAUUUCGUGAAACAGCUGCAGCUACAUAGCUGACCAACACAACAGUAGCUUGUUAUUUCCAAACACAAGAGGAAUAAACACCCAAAAGCAGCAAAAGGCAUGAAUGCAGCUUCUUCAAGUUGAGUAACUAUAGCUAGCAAUUGAAGAAGCAGAAGCAGGCAAAACCAAGGCCAUCUCUGUGGCAAGCACCGCUACUUGCACCCUCGCGUUCUCGGCACUGUUUAUCACAGUCUUCUGUUACGAAGCACGGGCCAGUCCAAGUCUUACUACGCCGCUCGCAUAGUGCAGCCUCUGCCGGCUUUGCCAUUUCUGUAAUACACAACACUUACACAAAAUGAUUAAUUUCUAGUUAAUUAAAUUUUAUAAUGCAUGCGUGCUUGCAGAAACUUAUCAUCAUGAAGUACACAUCAAUGUCACUCACCGAACGAAGCGAAGAUGAUGAAGAAUGCAAAAAGAAGAGCAAAAGUCAUUGUAAAGCCAGAAACAGAUUUAGCCAUUUUAAUUUUUAUUUGUUGCACUUGCUGAACUGGUUUAUUAUUUCAUGAAAAUGGUAAGUGACCGUAGCCCCAAUUUAUACACUUGCAAUGUAAGCUAUCCCUUCCCUUUUUGAGAAAGUUUCGAUGAAAUUUUUAGACCUUACUAGUUUUUUAAUAUAUCGAUAAAGUGCAAGGUUUAAUUGUUGUUUUGUAACCAUCUCCCACGUUGGGAAUAUGUAAACAACAAAUAUAUCAGUACCAACAAAGACAGAUAAAUAUUUUCAGCCGAUGUGGCAAACAAGGUUGUGAGGCCAAAAUAAAAUAUUUACAAAGUAAUGAGGUAAAAAUGUAAAAUUUAAAAAUAGUUAAAUUUUAUAAUUUUAUAAUUAUUUUCAAAUCUUUUUCUUUUACGUUGCUUUCUAAAAAAUUUCAAAAAGUAAGCCGGGGUUUACCCUGAUUUUUUUUUUUUUUUGGUUUUUUUAACUUUAAAAUUUCAAAGAUAAGUUAGGGUUGCCUUGAAAGCCUUUGCUAUAGGUUGCAUUACUUUUGAAAAAUUUUCAAAAAGUCAGGGGUCACCUUGCGCAAACGCUCUUCCGCUUCUAUAUUUAUAUUAAUCUCGAACUUACUUCAAUAUAUAUCUAGUUUCCCUAUCAAGUGAUAACAUAACAUCACUGCUACAAUAAUCCUAAACUUUCAUAUUGUUGGGUGUGGGUACAUAGAGAUACAUCAACAAUGGUACAAUGAAACUUCAUCGGGGCCAGACCAAUAACUUAAUUAUAUCUAGGAUGUAAUGGGAGGGGAAAAAAAUUCGAUCCUACACAAAUAAUUUUGGGAAAAGGACACAAGGACCCCCAACGUUUGAGUAAGGGACACAAAACUCCCUAAGGUUUUAAAAAAGAUACGCAGACCCCAAUUAAUUAACGGAAAUCGUUUCGUUAAAUCACUACAAGGUUAAUACCGUAAUUACAAAUUAAAAACAAGUGAAUUGACUAAAACCCACACACACAUCACACGGACAAACAAACCCCACACACACUGAUUCCAGACAAAUCUUUUAACACACACUCACGGUUUGCCUUGCCGAAAGCUGCUGGGGUUGCCGGAAGUUGCUGGAACUGGUCACGCUACUGGAAGCUGCUGGAACUGCUCGUGCGUCGAUCGAGACUGUGUCUGGUUGCCGGAUCUGCUCGCGAUCAACGUUUGGCUGCUGGUUGUGCUGUUGGAACUGCUGGAAUCUCGCGUUUGGCUGUUGGAACUGCUCGUGUUUGGUUGCUGCUCUUGCUUGUGGAAUCUCGCGUUUGGCUGCUGCUUGUGCUCGCGUUUGGUUGCUGAUCCUGCCUGUUGAAUCUCACGUUUGGCUGCUGCUCUUGCUUGUGGAAUCUCGCGUUUGGCUACUGCUUGUGCUCGCUUUUGGUUGCUGCUCUUGCUUGUGGAAUCCAGGGUUCAAUUCUCUUAAGUCCUAUUUUUUCUCUUUAAUUUUCAUUUUUUUUACUAAAUUAACUUCUCUAGCAUGUUUGAUGCAUAUGUGAUGUAUGUGCAAGAAUAUAAAUAAAUGAUUACGAGAAUUUUUUUUUUUUUUUGUUUAUGGUUGUUUGAUGAACAGAGUUCUUAAUUUGUCUGAUUUAUUGGAGAUUUCUUGCUAAUUACUUUUGUUAUUUCUUUUCUUUAUCAAUUUUUAGAUGUGCAUGGAAUUUUCUUUAUCAAAUUUAUUUUGUUAUAUCUAACCAGUUGGGCUAGAAUUCUACCUAGGUGAGAUAUUAUGCAUUUUUUUAAUGGUCCUGGAGCAUGUGAAUUUUGUGCUUAAUUUAUUAAUGAAAAGAAUGUAUUGGUUUGCAGAUGGUUGAUCAGCCAUCCCAAAACCUGAAUACUCACUCACUUUAUUCUUUUGAACAAGAAGAUGAUGAAGCAUAUUGGUCAAAUGAUGACAAUGAAGACAUAACACCUGCUGAUGAUGAAAUAGGAUUAAAUUGGGAUGAUGAGGGAGUGGAUGUUGGGCAUAGUGAAGGUUGUGAAGAAGUGGAUUAUAAAGAUAGUGAAGAAGAAGAUAGAAUUCUUUCUAAUUGUGAGUCAGAUGAUAGAGAGCAUGGCCUGCUUUCUGAUUCUGAAGAUGAGCAAUCAUUUCAUUGUUCAAAAUCUAACCCCAAUGAAAUGAUUGAAAUCAGUGUUGGGCAGGAGUUCGACAAUGUCCAACAUUUCAGAAGAGUACUUGAAAACUACGUUAUUAAGAAUGGGUUUGAUCUUAAUAGAAUUAAGAAUGAGAAGAGAAGGUUCAGGGCAAAGUGUUCCAAUGAGGGCUGUCCGUGGUUUAUUUAUGCAGCACUAGUAGAAUCUGGGACAAAAUUCAGAAUUCAAAAGCUGAAUAAUGUACAUGAAUGUAAUGGAGUGUUAGAGAGCAAAGAGGCAUCAUAUAAAUGGAUUGCCUCUCAGUUUGAGGGAACUUUGAAGAACAACCCAAAAAUGCCAGUAAAGGGAAUGAAAGAUGAAUUGGUUUCUAAUUUAGGGAUUAAGGCAAGCAUGAAGAAAAUGUAUAGGGCCAAGAAAAGAGCAAUGGAUAAAUUAAAUGGGAACUAUGCAAAUUCUUAUCAGAGGCUAAGGGAUUAUGCCCAAAUACUCAAACAAAGCAAUCCCAAUACGUUAGUAAAGAUGAAAUUUGUGCCUAGUUUUGAUCAAGAUAGAAGACCAGCUUUGAAGUUUCAGAGAUUUAUGCUUAGCUUUGUUGCUUUGAAGAAUGGAUUCAUUAAUGGAUGUCGAUGGUUUAUUGGAUUGGAUGGUUGUCAUUUAAAGGGGCAUUUCAGAGGUGUACUAUUAUCAGCAGUGGCAUUAGAUGCAAACAAUGGAAUUUUUUCGAUUGCCGUUUGUAUUUGUGAAUCAGAAUGUGCUGAUAGUUGGAAAUGGUUUUUGGCAAUAUUGAGUGAGUGGUUGAACAUAGAGAAUCAAAGUCGAGUAACGUUUAGGACAGAUAGGCAAAAAGGAAUAUUACUAGGUUUGGAAGCAUAUUGGCAUGGUGCAACAGUGAGGCAUUGUGCCAGACAUAUAUUUGCUAACUUAAGAAGUAAUCAUCCUGAUAUCAUCUACAGAAACCUAUUUUGGACAGCAGCAAGAGCCACUAGUGAAAAAGAAUGGGAAGACAACAUGAACAAAAUAAAAACAGCUAAAAAAGACACGCAAGCUGCUUAUGAUUAUUUGAUUAAGAUUGACAAGAAACAGUGGGCUAGACAUGCAUUUCCUGAUGAUGUAAAAGUUGAUCAUGUAACUAACAACUUAAAUGAGUCAUGGAACAGCUGGUUAAAUGAAUACAAAGACAACCCUGUGUUGACACUUAUGGAAUUCAUUCGGAAGAAAGUUAUGAAAAGACUGUAUAAAAGGCAUUCUGAUGCAAGAAAAUGGAUUGGGAAGCUACCUCCAACUGUGAGGAGAAAGUUGAAUGUUUCCAGACAAGAAGGAAGAUAUGUAAGGGUGCUUAUGGCUAGUGAGUAUGAAUUUGAGGUAAUAGAUGAGAAUAAUAAAACAUUUAUAGUUAAUAUGCAGAAUAAAACUUGUGAUUGUGGUGUUUAUCAAAUUUGUGGGAUACCAUGUAAACAUAUCAUCCCAUGUAUUGCUUUAAGACAUGAAGAUGCUGCUGAUUAUGUGGAUAAAAAACUGACAGUGGAAGCAUAUUUGGCCACAUAUGCAAAUAUCAUACAUCCACUUCCAUAUCAAAGUACAUGGGCUGUUGUUGAAGGUCUAAAAGUCUUAUCUCCAUAUGUCAAAACAAGAGUUGGUAGGCCUAAAAUAGUGAGGAAAAGAGAGCCAGGGGAAGAACAAGGGAAAAGAAAGACCAAGCAAAAAUGUAGCUGUUGUGCAAUUUUCGGCCAUAAUAAAAGAUUAUAUAAAAGACCAAUUGAUUCCACUCAACACCCCUCAGGUAAGCCUAAAUUUCUUUUUUUUUUUUAUUUUACUUUUUUAUAUAAAAAUAAAAUUUAUAUAUUAAUAUUUAUACAUUUAUCGUGCAGGAACAACCACACAAGAUAUGAGAUGAAGCUCACAAGCUAGUAAUCAGAGUUGUUAUACCAAUUUGUGAACAGAUUAUGUUUUUUUUUCAAAAAAUAUUAUGGUUAUUGUUGUAAUGUUUACCAGUACUAAUUUGAUACAAUAUUAUAAUACAAUUAUUUUUUGUUAUGUUUACUGGAUUGAUGGUUUUAAUGUCUAUUGGAUAUGUUAUUUAGUACAAUUAAGAUUUUGUAAUUAUUGUUGUAAAUAAUUUUUUUUUUAUUUUGUUGAUUAUAUAAGUUUAAAUGAUUGACAUAUGGAGAAUUGUUAUUUUUAUUAUAUUAAUAAUCAAUUUAAUUUAUUUUUAUUCUUGAGCAAUGAAUUAAAUUUAUUUAGUUUGAAGAGAAAAAUUAACAAAAAUUAAAUGGAAAAAUUGGGUAAUGAAGUUAUAUUCGUAAUUAUAUUAAUAAUAUAGGGAUAAAUUGGACAAUGAACAAUUAGUUUUUAAUAUGCUAUAAGGGUAUAAUGGUAAUUGUACUUUAAAAUUAUAAUUUCACUCAAAAGAAACGGUUUCCGUUAACUAAUGGGGGUCUGAGUGUCUUUUUUGAAACAUGAGGGGGUUUUAUGUCCCUUAUUCAAACGUUGGGGGUCUCUGUGUCCUUUUCCCAAUAAUUUAUCAUCAUGUGUUAAGUGACGAUUGACUUUAUUAAUUAUUGGUACAAAAUUAAUAUGCCAAGCACAAAUGAUCAACUGAGAUACAAAAUCUUGGUUCUCCACUGCGUGUGUAUAUUAUACCAUGUAAUGUUGUUAUCACCACCCAAAACUCUCUCCGAAUUAAGUAGGUAUAGGCGCUAAUUCAUCACAAGAUUAUUACUGCACUCGCAUGAAGUGAAAAUAGAUUUGUUGGAUAUCCCUUAUUCAUAUUUUUUCUCAUUAGUCAUAAUUGUCCCAUAGACAAUAACAAAUGUAGGAUUUUAAAAUGAAUAAAAAAGUUCUUUUCAAUAAUCUCAUAUUUACAAAUUAUAUUUUCUUUUAGUGUUUCCAAAAAAGAGGAACAUGUAAAAAAUAUAUAUUAGCUUGUUAUACGACUCUUUUUGGUCAAGUGAUAGUGCUUCAGGUAAUUUUUAUAAAUAAAAUUAAGUUUUGUUUCAAAUAAGCACUCCCCCCCUAAAAAAAAAAGAAGGGGAGAAGGCAAAACCCAGAUUGAUUUCUUAGCGUUACUUUUCUCAAAAUCCAGACUCAAGUGGUCGGGCAAAGAAAUUUGCGUAAAAACCACUCGGUCAAGACCUUUGGCCUCAUUGAGUACUCAUUGAUGGCGAUAUAAUUAAUUAAUUCUAAUGUGACCAACUCAUUUGCACGUGAGAGAAAAUGAAUGUUAAUUAUACUUCACCAGCAACUAUAUCCAAUUUUGUUAUUUUAUAUUAUUAAGUCUCAAGAUGGUUAUGUUUCAUACACAUUUAACUAAUUAAGAACAUAAUAAAUACUUAUAUGGAAUAAAUAAUUUUCAUAAUAGUACAUGAAUGUUCAUUCCUGGUGCUUGCGUAUCAUAGUAAUAUAAAUAGCGUGAAGAGAUGGAGUAAUAACUUAUAAUUAGAUUUGUAGAGUGUGGCUCAUUAUAUUAGAAUAACACAAACAAGCAAUACAACAAAGACGCAACAAACAUUGACUCGUUCCUUAUUCAGAAGCUACGUACGGUAUAGUUAUGGCUAACCGUACACUGUACGUAGCUUGUUAUUGUUCUAAACACAAGACGACUGAAACGAGACACAUCACACGAACGACAGCAAAUAAUUAAGGUAGCCACAGCUAGCUUUCGCUGCUAACGAUGGAUAUAAUUUCUUUCAUUGAUAAGCAACUAGCACUCGAAGUAACAGAAGCACGCAUAACCAGUUCCUUGUCUGUAGCAAGCCCCGUACCUUGCAUCCUCCUGCUGCUUGCAGUGCCUGCUACAUUUCCCCGUGUUGAGACACGGCCCCGACCAUGUCUUGCUACGCCGCUGGCACACUUUUGCUUCCGCCAUUGGCACUUCUGUAACAAGCAUACAAAAUCAUUAACGUGCACUUAGAUAUAUAAGUUAUUAUCAAAGCUCAUGGGUGUCAACAAAUUCAGGUGGUAAAAUGAUCUCUUAGGUUGAAACAAGAAGUCUGAGGUUUAAACUCUGCUUACAUGAAUGGAAGAGUGCUUUAUAUUACAAUAUACCAGUAUACAAACACACACACACACACACUAAAAUCUGAAAUAAAAAAAAAAUUGUUAUGAAAGUUUAAUAUGCAUGCAUAUGAAACAUAUAUAUGAUUUUGCUUCCCCUCUGGCAUUUCUGUAACACAUACACAGCAUAUUUAAUGCACUCAGUUAGCUAAUAUUAGUUAGGCACGUGGGCUUAUGAAUGGUAUUUAGUGUCAGACUCAUGCGCAAGUAUGCCCUCAUCGCUUAAGAGCAGUUAUUCAAGAAAACUUCAACUAUAAACUAACUUUUUGAGUAUGAGUUAGGCUCAAGUCUUUUUGAAACUGCACAACUUAAUAUCAUAGGCAAAACUUAAAAUUAAAUUUUGAUUGCUGAAAAACUAUUAAGUACUGGUUAACAUCAAGUCACUCACCGAAGGAAGCAAAGAGUAUGAAGAACGCAAAAAUAAGAGCAAAAGCUGUGGUAAUGCUAGCAACUGACUUAGCCAUUUUUGCACUUGCUUUGGUUUUAAUUUGAUGAAAUUGCUGAAGGCCCCAACCCCUAUUUAUACUUGGAUAUAAGCUGUCUCUUCGUCUCUAGCCAAGAUCCGCGAGAGACAAAGAAACAAUAAAUUAAUUAACCGGGGAAAUUUGAAUUAGACACUAAAAAAUGAAUUCACGCUCGGAUUAUUGACAAAAAAUUUUACAGUUUAUGCAAAUAAUUGUGAAUUAGAAUGACGUCCUGCCAAUUGCUAUAUUAUAUGCACUCUGAAGUAGUCUUAGGUAGUUGAAAUCUUCAAAUUUAAAUAUAAUACGCAAUGCGAACUUCAAUGACCCAAUCUUCCCCAUAACCUUGUCAUUGACAAAAGAUUUUACAGUUUAUUCAGAUAAUUGUGAAUUGAAAUAGUGUCCUGCCAAGUGCUCUAUUUCAUUAUUUCAUAUGCACUCUGAAGUAGUCUUAGUUAAAAUCUUAAAAUUUAAAUAUCAUAUCCAAUGCCCGACUUCAAUGACCCAUUCUUCCCUAUAACCUUGUUAAACCACCCUAUCGGAUUCUGUAUAUUCUAUUUAUUGUGUGGUUAAUUGUUCUUAUCAAUCGGAUCUAUGACAUACAGCGCUUCAUCUACGUAGCAAAAUGAUGGUGCAAGUAUAAUUUUCUAUUGCUAUAAACAGAAAAUUAAACGUUUUAUUCAUACUAUUACUUUUAUAAGUUUUAUGUAAACUUUUAAAGACCACAUUGAAAAGAUAAAUUCACUCUUGUUAUCAUUCAAUUUAGCUUAAGGUCAAUUUAUACCAGAAUAUUGAGAAGAUAGAAAGAACUUAAACAAUCAUACUAAAUAGGGGAUUUCUUCCAUAUUUUUAAUACUAUAAUGUCGAUGAUACGUACUAUUUUUACAUUCAAUGAUGAAAAUGAUUUUGGCUCAUAUUAGUCUUAAUAAAGAAGAAUUAAUAUUUAGGAUCAUAAAGUGAUCCCUUUUUUAUGAAAUUCUUAUUUAUUUCUGACAAAAAAUCUUAAAGAUAACAAGACAACUGAAGAGAAAAUUCCUCCAAACAUACAUAAAAACCAUGACAACAAAAAUGAAAAUGAGCCAAAGCAUUUCUUGAUUACAAAUUCUUGGGACAUAACAGAUUCGAAAAUCUUACUUUGAUACAGGUAAGUGUUAGAGAUUAGAAAUAAUAUGAAACAACUAUGUAUGAGUAUGAUGGAUACCCUAAAUCAGCUAAACAACGCACAACAUAGUCAUCCUAAUCUUAUUAAAGGGAUGUAUCUUCGACAACUUAUUUGAUCUCUUAUGCUGUGGGGGCCAAAUUCAUUUAUGUGGGGGAAAUUUGUGAACUAUGACCUUCAAAUUCUUGUACGUGUAAGGUAAGAACUCUCGUCUAAAAGCCUUGUUUUAUUAGGUGAUUAUUGACAUAGACAAAUAAAAUAUAGCAAUUGAUUAGUGAUUACGACAAUGUUGAUGCGUAAUCAAAUAGAAUAUUUAUGAUUUUUUUAUGCUCAUCGGAUGUUAAUAAGAUAAGAAUCGCGAUGAAAAGUUCAUCAAUGUAUAUGGUACGCAUGUUGAUAGAGGACAAAAACAUUGUUUGAAAUUAAUAUUUUUUUGGGUUUAAAGGUAUUGGACUUUUCUUCUUUGACUAUGGAUAGUAGUUUUUUUUGGAAUCAAAUACAGUAUGAUUAUUUGAACAUAUUAAAAUACUCAAUAAACAUGUUUACUAAAAUACUCUUAUUAAAGAUUUCUCUCAUUGUUUCUUUUUCAACCCUCCAUCCACUCUUAAUUCUCUCCCAUCUUUUAUCUGCCAGUAUUGUCUUAUCUAGAAUAGAAAUUUAGGCUAUGGACAUCUAGUAAUAAAAAUUUAAAAACUUAAAUAAAAAAUGAAAAAAUGAGUCUAAUGAGCAAUUUUAUGGGUUCAAAUAAUUAAUUCCGCCUACUCAAGUGCCAGUAUUGUCCUAUCUAUAAUAUAAAUUUAGGCUAUGGACAUUCUAGUAAUAAAAAUUUAAAAACUUAAAUAAAAAAUGAGUCUAAUGAGUAAUUUUAUGGGUUCAAAUAAUUAAUUCCUUCUACUCAAGUAUUAUUCUUUUAUUUCUGGAUAAUAGUAACAAAGUACGAUUUCAAAGAUAACAAUUCAGAUGGGUAGGAAAGUCUUCCAAUAAAUAUUAGAUAUUUAAAUUAGUAGUUUGAAGAUAAAAUACUAGUAGGAUCAUGGAGCGGGGACAUGACUGGAUUAGCAACAAUGUUUUUUAAAAGGUAGAGAUGUGGGUAAAAAUUAAAAUGCUUUUUUAAUAUUUAACAUCAAUUAAAUAAGACUUCUUAAAAAGUAGUUGGCUAGAUCCUGGAGGUGAUUACCUGCAAAAUUCAUUACAUUGAUGAAGGAGUAUCUAAUUAGCAGAUUUGAUAUUACUCCUAUAGUUAUAGGAUGGAUAAAAGUAUUAAUUGGAAAAAAGUGUUAAUGGAGAAUAAAUGGUGGAUAUCAUUAUGUGGCUCGAACUCAUAUGCAGAUACGCUAUUACUGCACUCGCAUGAAGUGAAAAUAGAUUUGUUGGACAUCCCUUAUUCAUAUUUUUUCUCAUUAGUCAUAAUUGUCCCAUAGACAAUAACAAAUGUAGGAUUUUAAAAUGAAUAAAAAAGGUUCUUUUCAAUAAUCUCAUAUUUACAAAUUUUAUUUUCUUUUAGUGUUUCCAAAAAAGAGAAACAUGUAAAAAAUAUAUAUUAGCUUGUUAUACGAUUCUUUUUGGUCAAGUAGUGACAGUGCUUCAUAUGUGGCUCGAACUCAUACGCAGAUACGCUAUUAUAAAUUGCAAUCCUACCUAUAAUUAGGUUGAAUGACCAAAUGAAGAUACAAUAAUCUUGAACUCACAUAUAAAAUUGUAACAGUAGGAACAAAUAAUGUGAAACAUUAAACCAAACAAUAUUCAGUCAUAGUUCAAGGUAUACAUUUAUAAAAAAAAAAAAAAAGCACAAUAAACAUCGAUUAUUUUCAUGAAAAUAGCCACAUAUAACCAACAGUAAGGUUACUUAUUAUUUUAAAUAUUAUUUCGUGAAACAGCUGCAGCUACAUAGCUGACCAACACAACAGUAGCUUGUUAUUUCCAAACACAAGAGGAAUAAACACACAAAAGCAGCAAAAGGCAUGAAUGCAGCUUCUUCAAGUUGAGUAACUAUAGCUAGCAAUUGAAGAAGCAGAAGCAGGCAAAACCAAGACCAUCUCUGUGGCAAGCACCGCUACUUGCACCCUCGCGUUCUCGGCACUGUUUAUCACAGUCUUCUGUUACGAAGCACGGGCCAGUCCAAGUCUUACUACGCCGCUCGCAUAGUGCAGCCUCUGCCGGCUUUGCCAUUUCUGUAAUACACAACACUUACACAAAAUGAUUAAUUUCUAGUUAAUUAAAUUUUAUAAUGCAUGCGUGCUUGCACAAACUUAUCAUCAUGAAGUACACAUCAAUGUCACUCACCGAACGAAGCGAAGAUGAUGAAGAAUGCAAAAAGAAGAGCAAAAGUCAUUGUAAAGCCAGAAACAGAUUUAGCCAUUUUAAUUUUUAUUUGUUGCACUUGCUGAACUGGUUUAUUAUUUCAUGAAAAUGGUAAGUGACCGUAGCCCCAAUUUAUACACUUGCAAUGUAAGCUAUCCCUUCCCUUUUUGAGAAAGUUUCGAUGAAAUUUUUAGACCUUACUAGUUUUUUAAUGUAUCGAUAAAGUGCAAGGUUUAAUUGUUGUUUUGUAUUAGUUCUUGUCCUCAUGUUUUUUUUCAUUGAUUCCAAGGAAAUAUGCCCAUAUAUAUUCACCUUGUUUCCCAUGUUUAUGUUUUGAAAUUAACGCCGUUUGUUAAAUUUAUAAGUUUAUUAUGAUAAACACGUACAUGCAUGUAUCGAAUUUACAAAAUACAUUAAUUUUUAAAUAAACAUAUGAUUUUAAACUUCCUAUACGUGCACAAUAUGGUUGGCUAUUCGGUAACCAUCUCCCACGUUGGGAAUAUGUAAACAACAAAUAUAUCAGUACCAACAAAGACAGAUAAGUAUUUUCAGCCGAUGUGGCAAACAAGGUUGUGAGGCCAAAAUAAAAUAUUUACAAAGUAAUGAGGUAAAAUUGUAAAAUUUAAAAAUAGUUAAAUUUUAUAAUUUUAUAAUUAUUUUCAAAUCUUUUUUUUUACGUUGCUUUCUAAAAAAUUUCAAAAAGUAAGCCGGGGGUUACCUUGAUUUUUUUUUUUUUGGUUUUUUUUAACUUUAAAAUUUCAAAGAUAAGUUAGGGUUGCCUUGAAAGCCUUUGCUAUAGGUUGCAUUACUUUUGAAAAAUUUUCAAAAAGUCAGGGGUCACCUUGCGCAAACGCUCUUCCUCUUCUAUAUUUAUAUUAAUCUCGAACUUACUUCAAUAUAUAUCUAGUUUGCCUAUCAAGUGAUAACAUAACAUCACUGCUACAAUAAUCCUAAACUUUCAUACUGUUGGGUGUGGGUACAUGGAGAUACAUCAACAAUGGUACAAUGAAACUUCAUCGGGGCCAGACCAAUAACUUAAUUAUAUCUAGGAUGUAAUGGGAGGGGAAAAAAAUUCGAUCCUACACAAAUAAUUUAUCAUCAUGUGUUAAGUGACGAUUGACUUUAUUAAUUAUUGGUGCAAAAUUAAUAUGCCAAGCACAAAUGAUUAACUGAGAUACAAAAUCUUGGUUCUCCACUGCGUGUGUAUGUUAUACCAUGUAAUGUUGUUAUCACCACCCAAAACUCUCUCCGAAUUAAGUAGGUACAGGCUCUAAUUCAUCACAAGAUUAUUACUGCACUCAAAUGAAGUGAAAAUAGAUUUGUUGGAUAUCCCUUAUUCAUAUUUUUUCUCAUUAGUCAUAAUUGUCCAAUAGACAAUAACAAAUGUAGGAUUUUAAAAUGAAUAAAAAAGUUCUUUUCAAUAAUCUCAUAUUUACAAAUUAUAUUUUCUUUUAGUGUUUCCAAAAAAGAGAAACAUGUAAAAAAUAUAUAUUAGCUUCUUAUACGACUCUUUUUGGUCAAGUGAUAGUGCUUCAGGUAAUUUUUAUAAAUAAAAUUAAGUUUUGUUUCAAAUAAGCACUCCCCCUACCCCCCCCAAAAAAAAGAAGGGGAGAAGGCAAAACCCAGAUUGAUUUCUUAACAGUUACUUUUCUCAAAAUCCAGACUCAAGCGGUCGGCCAAAGAAAUUUGCAUAAAAACCACUCGGUCAAGCCCUUAGGGCUCAUUGAGUACUCAUUGAUGGCAAUAUAAUUAAUUAAUUCUAAUGUGACCAAGUCAUUUGCACGUGAGAGAAACUGAAUGUUAAUUAUAUUUCACCAGCAACUAUAUUUUGUUAUUUUAUAUUAUUAAGUCCCAAGAUGGUUAUGUUUCAUACACAUUUAACUAAUUAAGAACAUAAUAAAUACUUAUAUGGAAUAAACAAUUUUCAUAAUAGUACAUGAAUGUUCAUUCCUGAUGCUUGCGUAUCAUAGUAAUAUAAAUAGCGUGAAGAGAUGGAGUAAUAACUUAUAAUUAGAUUUGUAGAGUGUGGCUGAUUAUAUUAGAAUAACACAAACAAGCAAUACAACAAAGACCCAACAAACAUUGACUCGUUCCUUAUUCAGAAGCUACGUACGGUAUAGUUAUGGCUAACCGUACACCGUACGUAGCUUGUUAUUGUUCUAAACACAAGACGACUGAAACGAGACACAUCACACGAACGACAGCAAAUAAUUAAGGUAGCCACAGCUAGCUUUCGCUGCUAACGAUGGAUAUAAUUUCUGUCAUUGAUAAGCAACUAGCACUUGAAGUAACAGAAGCACGCAUAACCAGUUCCUUGUCUGUAGCAAGCCCCGUACCUUGCAUACUCCUGCUGCUUGCAGUGCCUGCUACAUUUCCCCGUGUUGAGACACGGCCCCGACCAUGUCUUGCUACGCCGCUGGCACACUUUUGCUUCCGCCAUUAGCACUUCUGUAACAAGCAUACAAAAUCAUUAACGUGCACUUAGAUAUAUAAGUUAUUAUCAAAGCUCAUGGGUGUCAACAAAUUCAGGUGGUAAAAUGAUCUCUUAGGUUGAAACAAGAAGUCUGAGGUUUAAACUCUGCUUACAUGAAUGGAAGAGUGCUUUAUAUUACAAUAUACCAGUAUACAAACACACACACACACACACUAAAAUCUGAAAUAAAAAAAAAAUUGUUAUGAAAGUUUAAUAUGCAUGCAUAUGAAACAUAUAUAUGAUUUUGCUUCCCCUCUGGCAUUUCUGUAACACAUACACAGCAUAUUUAAUGCACUCAGUUAGCUAAUAUUAGUUAGGCACGUGGGCUUAUGAAUGGUAUUUAGUGUCAGCCUCAUGCGCAAGUAUGCCCUCAUCGAUUAAGAGCAGUUAUUCAAGAAAACUUCAACUAUAAACUAACUUUUUGAGUAUGAGUUAGGCUCAAGUCUUUUUGAAAAUGCACAACUUAAUAUCAUAGGCAAAACUUAAAAUUAAAUUUUGAUUGCUGAAAAACUAUUAAGUACUGGUUAACAUCAAGUCACUCACCGAAGGAAGCAAAGAGUAUGAAGAACGCAAAAAUAAGAGCAAAAGCUGUGGUAAUGCUAGCAACUGACUUAGCCAUUUUUGCACUUGCUUUGGUUUUAAUUUGAUGAAAUUGCUGAAGGCCCCAACCCCUAUUUAUACUUGGAUAUAAGCUGUCUCUUCGUCUCUAGCCAAGAUCCGCGAGAGACAAAGAAACAAUAAAUUAAUUAACCGGGGAAAUUUGAAUUAGACACUAAAAAAUGAAUUCACGCUCGGAUUAUUUGUUGAAAAGUCAGAAGCAAAUGCCAACUUUGCAACUGUUAGCAUGAAGGCUUUGGAGAAGCAAAAUCCAAUUUGGUUUUUGUUAGCCGAAAAGAAAGAAUGGAAAAAGGGGAUGUAUUGAAAAUAAUAAUAAUUAUUUAUUAUAUUUUCAAUUAUUUUAUUCUUUGCAUAGUGCCAACAUUUUUCCUAUAAAUAGCUUAGGAUUUCAUUCAUUUAAAAUCAUCCCAAAAUUGUUAAGCUUAUAAGUUUCUAAGCUUUUGAGAGAAGUGAGAGAAGUGUGUCUGGGGAAUUUAUCUUUCCUGCAGAGUGUGAGAGUACUGGGUAUAUUUGGGUUUCUAGGAAGUGAGAUUCGUUGUUCAAAUAUUGUAUUCUAUUAAUUGUUAAAUAAAAAAUUAUUCUUUCUUGCCUCCGUGGAUGUAGGUUUAAUUACCGAACCACGUAAAUUCUUGUGUCCUUUAUUUUUCAGUAAUUUUUGGUGCGCUUGAUUCCACAUUCCGCGCACAACAAGUGGUAUCAGAGCCGACGGUUCGUACUUGGGGGGAUACGGUACUGUUCACGUAUACGGUACUAUUCCCGUAUACGGUACUGUUCACGAACACGGUGGAGACAGCCAUUUGUACUUGGGAGACAGUCUAUUGUAAGUAGUGUGUAUUUUUGCAUGUCUAGGAAAGUUCUGUCAACAAAGGCGAUAAGAGUCUAAGGAUUCUGGUUUUUAAUUGGGACCGAGUUCCCGUCCAGUUUCCUGGGAACUUUCCUGGUGCAUUUAUUCACGCGAAAUUAACAUCAUAGAGGCUAUUUUUCAAGUGGAAAUAGUUCGUUGAAAAAAUGGUAGAAGGUGAAACUUCCAGAAUUGUGGAGAGAUCUACCGAGACUAUUUCAGGAGACACUUCAGAUGGGAUGCGAGAUUUGUCAAAUCGCUAUUCAGCACCUGUUAUAGGAGGCCAGAAGAUCGAUGUUGAAAAGUUUGAUGGGAAAAUCAACUUCGGCAUGUGGAGGCGCGAAGUUAUGGAUGCCCUUAUUCAAAUCGAUCUCGAUGUUGUCCUGAAAAAUAAAAGACACUUGUAUGAUGAAGAAAUUUGGGUACGUAGGCAGUCGGAUAGAUGCAGUCAAUGUGGAUCCUUUUGAGGAUCAUGUGAGGGGUGAAGUUUGGCAGAUCAUUGUCAAUCGGCUCAGAUUUGGAUAAAUUUUCGCCGAGGUGGAGAAUUGUUGAAAAGUCAGAAGCAAAUGCCAACUUUGCAACUGUUAGCAUGAAGGCUUUGGAGAAGCAAAAUCCAAUUUGGUUUUUGUUAGCCGAAAAGAAAGAAUGGAAAAAGGGGAUGUAUUGAAAAUAAUAAUAAUUAUUUAUUAUAUUUUCAAUUAUUUUAUUCUUUGCAUAGUGCCAACAUUUUUCCUAUAAAUAGCUUAGGAUUUCAUUCAUUUGAAAUCAUCCCAAAAUUGUUAAGCUUAUAAGUUUCUAAGCUUUUGAGAGAAGUGAGAGAAGUGUGUCUGGGGAAUUUAUCUUUCCUGCAGAGUGUGAGAGUACUGGGUAUAUUUGGGUUUCUGGGAAGUGAGAUUCGUUACUCAAAUAUUGUAUUCUAUUAAUUGUUAAAUAAACAAUUAUUCUUUCUUGCCUCCGUGGAUGUAGGUUUAAUUACCGAACCACGUAAAUUCUUGUGUCCUUUAUUUUUCAGUAAUUUUUGGUGCGCUUGAUUCCGCAUUCCGCGCACAACAUUAUUGACAAAAAAUUUUACAGUUUAUGCAAAUAAUUGUGAAUUAGAAUGACGUCCUGCCAAUUGCUAUAUUAUAUGCACUCUGAAGUAGUCUUAAGUAGUUGAAAUCUUCAAGUUUAAAUAUAAUACGCAAUGCGAACUUCAAUGACCCAUUCUUCCCCAUAACCUUGUCAUUGACAAAAGAUUUUACAGUUUAUUCAGAUAAUUGUGAAUUGAAAUAGUGUCCUGCCAAGUGCUCUAUUUCAUUAUUUCAUAUGCACUCUGAAGUAGUCUUAGUUAAAAUCUUAAAAUUUAAAUAUCAUAUCCAAUGCCCGACUUCAAUGACCCAUUCUUCCCUAUAACCUUGUUAAACCACCCUAUCGGAUUCUGUAUAUUCUAUUUAUUGUGUGGUUAAUUGUUCUUAUCAAUCGGAUCUAUGACAUACAGCGCUUCAUCUACGUAGCAAAAUGAUGGUGCAAGUAUCAUUUUCUAUUGCUAUAAACAGAAAAUUAAACGUUUUAUUCAUACUAUUACUUUUAUAAGUUUUAUGUAAACUUUUAAAGACCACAUUGAAAAGAUAAAUUCACUCUUGUUAUCAUUCAAUUUAGCUUAAGGUCAAUUUAUACCAGAAUAUUGAGAAGAUAGAAAGAACUUAAACAAUCAUACUAAAUAGGGGAUUUCUUCCAUAUUUUUAAUACUAUAAUGUCGAUGAUACGUACUAUGUUUACAUUCAAUGAUGAAAAUGAUUUUGGCUCAUAUUAGUCUUAAUAAAGAAGAAUUAAUAUUUAGGAUCAUAAAGUGAUCCCUUUUUUAUGAAAUUCUUAUUUAUUUCUGACAAAAAAUCUUAAAGAUAACAAGACAACUGAAGAGAAAAUUCCUCCAAACAUACAUAAAAACCAUGACAACAAAAAUGAAAAUGAGCCAAAGCAUUUCUUGAUUACAAAUUCUUGGGACAUAACAGAUUCGAAAAUCUUACUUUGAUACAGGUAAGUUUUAGAGAUUAGAAAUAAUAUGAAACAACUUUGUAUGAGUAUGAUGGAUACCCUGAAUCAGCUAAACAACGCACAACAUAGUCAUCCUAAUCUUAUUAAAGGGAUGUACCUUCGACAACUUAUUUGAUCUCUUAUGCUGUGGGGGCCAAAUUCAUUUAUGUGGGGGAAAUUUGUGAACUAUGACCUUCAAAUUCUUGUACGUGUAAGGUAAGAACUCUCGUCUAAAAGCCUUGUUUUAUUAGGUGAUUAUUGACAUAGACAAAUAAAAUAUAGCAACUGAUUAGUGAUUACGACAAUGUUGAUGCCUAAUCGAAUAGAAUAUUUAUGAUUUUUUUAUGCUCAUCGGAUGUUAAUAAGAUAAGAAUCGCGAUGAAAAGUUCAUCAAUGUAUAUGGUACGCAUGUGGAUAGAGGACAAAAACAUUGUUUGAAAUUAAUAUUUUUUUGGGUUUAAAGGUAUUGGACUUUUCUUCUUUGACUAUGGGUAGUAGUUUUGUUUGGAAUCAAAUACAGUAUGAUUAUUUGAACAUAUUAAAAUACUCAAUAAACAUGUUUACUAAAAUACUCUUAUUAAAGAUUUCUCUCAUUGUUUCGUUUUCAACCCUCCAUCCACUCUUAAUUCUCUCCCAUCUUUUAUCUGCCAGUAUUGUCUUAUCUAGAAUAGAAAUUUAGGCUAUGGACAUCUAGUAAUAAAAAUUUAAAAACUUAAAUAAAAAAUGAAAAAAUGAGUCUAAUGAGCAAUUUUAUGGGUUCAAAUAAUUAAUUCCGCCUACUCAAGUGCCAGUAUUGUCCUAUCUAUAAUAUAAAUUUAGGCUAUGGACAUUCUAGUAAUAAAAAUUUAAAAACUUAAAUAAAAAAUGAGUCUAAUGAGUAAUUUUAUGGGUUCAAAUAAUUAAUUCCUUCUACUCAAGUAUUAUUCUUUUAUUUCUGGAUAAUAGUAACAAAGUACGAUUUCAAAGAUAACAAUUCAGAUGGGUAGGAAAGUCUUCCAAUAAAUAUUAGAUAUUUAAAUUAGUAGUUUGAAGAUAAAAUACUAGUAGGAUCAUGGAGCGGGGACAUGACUGGAUUAGCAACAAUGUUUUUUAAAAGGUAGAGAUGUGGGUAAAAAUUAAAAUGCUUUUUUAAUAUUUAACAUCAAUUAAAUAAGACUUCUUAAAAAGUAGUUGGCUAGAUCCUGGAGGUGAUUACCUGCAAAAUUCAUUACAUUGAUGAAGGAGUAUCUAAUUAGCAGAUUUGAUAUUACUCCUAUAGUUAUAGGAUGGAUAAAAGUAUUAAUUGGAAAAAAGUGUUAAUGGAGAAUAAAUGGUGGAUAUCAUUAUGUGGCUCGAACUCAUAUGCAGAUACGCUAUUACUGCACUCGCAUGAAGUGAAAAUAGAUUUGUUGGACAUCCCUUAUUCAUAUUUUUUCUCAUUAGUCAUAAUUGUCCCAUAGACAAUAACAAAUGUAGGAUUUUAAAAUGAAUAAAAAAGGUUCUUUUCAAUAAUCUCAUAUUUACAAAUUUUAUUUUCUUUUAGUGUUUCCAAAAAAGAGAAACAUGUAAAAAAUAUAUAUUAGCUUGUUAUACGAUUCUUUUUGGUCAAGUAGUGACAGUGCUUCAUAUGUGGCUCGAACUCAUACGCAGAUACGCUAUUAUAAAUUGCAAUCCUACCUAUAAUUAGGUUGAAUGACCAAAUGAAGAUACAAUAAUCUUGAACUCACAUAUAAAAUUGUAACAGUAGGAACAAAUAAUGUGAAACAUUAAACCAAACAAUAUUCAGUCAUAGUUCAAGGUAUACAUUUAUAAAAAAAAAAAAAAAGCACAAUAAACAUCGAUUAUUUUCAUGAAAAUAGCCACAUAUAACCAACAGUAAGGUUACUUAUUAUUUUAAAUAUUAUUUCGUGAAACAGCUGCAGCUACAUAGCUGACCAACACAACAGUAGCUUGUUAUUUCCAAACACAAGAGGAAUAAACACCCAAAAGCAGCAAAAGGCAUGAAUGCAGCUUCUUCAAGUUGAGUAACUAUAGCUAGCAAUUGAAGAAGCAGAAGCAGGCAAAACCAAGGCCAUCUCUGUGGCAAGCACCGCUACUUGCACCCUCGCGUUCUCGGCACUGUUUAUCACAGUCUUCUGUUACGAAGCACGGGCCAGUCCAAGUCUUACUACGCCGCUCGCAUAGUGCAGCCUCUGCCGGCUUUGCCAUUUCUGUAAUACACAACACUUACACAAAAUGAUUAAUUUCUAGUUAAUUAAAUUUUAUAAUGCAUGCGUGCUUGCACAAACUUACCAUCAUGAAGUACACAUCAAUGUCACUCACCGAACGAAGCGAAGAUGAUGAAGAAUGCAAAAAGAAGAGCAAAAGUCAUUGUAAAGCCAGAAACAGAUUUAGCCAUUUUAAUUUUUAUUUGUUGCACUUGCUGAACUGGUUUAUUAUUUCAUGAAAAUGGUAAGUGACCGUAGCCCCAAUUUAUACACUUGCAAUGUAAGCUAUCCCUUCCCUUUUUGAGAAAGUUUCGAUGAAAUUUUUAGACCUUACUAGUUUUUUAAUGUAUCGAUAAAGUGCAAGGUUUAAUUGUUGUUUUGUAUUAGUUCUUGUCCUCAUGUUUUUUUUCAUUGAUUCCAAGGAAAUAUGCCCAUAUAUAUUCACCUUGUUUCCCAUGUUUAUGUUUUGAAAUUAACGCCGUUUGUUAAAUUUAUAAGUUUAUUAUGAUAAACACGUACAUGUAUCGAAUUUACAAAAUACAUUAAUUUUUAAAUAAACAUAUGAUUUUAAACUUCCUAUACGUGCACAAUAUGGUUGGCUAUUCGGUAACCAUCUCCCACGUUGGGAAUAUGUAAACAACAAAUAUAUCAGUACCAACAAAGACAGAUAAGUAUUUUCAGCCGAUGUGGCAAACAAGGUUGUGAGGCCAAAAUAAAAUAUUUACAAAGUAAUGAGGUAAAAAUGUAAAAUUUAAAAAUAGCUAAAUUUUAUAAUUUUAUAAUUAUUUUCAAAUCUUUUUCUUUUACGUUGCUUUCUAAAAAAUUUCAAAAAGUAAGCCGGGGGUUACCUUGAUUUUUUUUUUUUUUGGUUUUUUUAACUUUAAAAUUUCAAAGAUAAGUUAGGGUUGCCUUGAAAGCCUUUGCUAUAGGUUGCAUUACUUUUGAAAAAUUUUCAAAAAGUCAGGGGUCACCUUGCGCAAAAGCUGUUCCGCUUCUAUAUUUAUAUUAAUCUCGAACUUACUUCAAUAUAUAUCUAGUUUGCCUAUCAAGUGAUAACAUAACAUCACUGCUACAAUAAUCCUAAACUUUCAUACUGUUGGGUGUGGGUACAUGGAGAUACAUCAACAAUGGUACAAUGAAACUUCAUCGGGGCCAGACCAAUAACUUAAUUAUAUCUAGGAUGUAAUGGGAGGGAUCCUACACAAAUAAUUUAUCAUCAUGUGUUAAGUGACGAUUGACUUUAUUAAUUAUUGGUGCAAAAUUAAUAUGCCAAGCACAAAUGAUUAACUGAGAUACAAAAUCUUGGUUCUCCACUGCGUGUAUAUUAUACCAUGUAAUGUUGUUAUCACCACCCAAAACUCUCUCCGAAUUAAGUAGGUACAAGCUCUAAUUCAUCACAAGAUUAUUACUGCACUCGCAUGAAGUGAAAAUAGAUUUGUUGGAUAUCCCUUAUUCAUAUUUUUUCUCAUUAGUCAUAAUUGUCCCAUAGACAAUAACAAAUGUAGGAUUUUAAAAUGAAUAAAAAAGUUCUUUUCAAUAAUCUCAUAUUUACAAAUUAUAUUUUCUUUUAGUGUUUCCAAAAAAGUGAAACAUGUAAAAUAUAUAUAUUAGCUUGUUAUACGACUCUUUUUGGUCAAGUGAUAGUGCUUCAGGUAAUUUUUAUAAAUAAAAUUAAGUUUUGUUUCAAAUAAGCACUCCCCCCCCCCCCCAAAAAAAAAGAAGGGGAGAAGGCAAAACCCAGAUUGAUUUCUUAACGUUACUUUUCUCAAAAUCCAGACUCAAGUGGUCGGGCAAAGAAAUUUGCGUAAAAACCACUCGGUCAAGCCCUUAGGCCUCAUUGAGUACUCAUUGAUGGCGAUAUAAUUAAUUAAUUCUAAUGUUACCAACUCAUAGCAUAGUGAUCCUAAUCUUAUUAAAAGGAUGUAUCCUCGACAACUUAUUUGAUCUCUUAUGAUGUGGGUGCCAAAUUCAUUUAUGUGGGGAAAAUUUGUGAACUAUGACCUUUAAAUUCUUGUAUGUGUAAGGUACGAACACUUGUCUAAAAACAUUGUUUAUAAGGUGAUUAUUGACAUAGAUAAAUAAAUAUAGCAACUAAUUAGUGACUGCAACAAUGUUGAUGCCUAAUCAAAUAGAAUAUUUAUGAUUAUUUUUUUAUGCUCAUCGGAUUUAAUAAGAUAAGGAUCACGAUGAGAAGAUCAUCAAUGUAAAUGAUAUGCAUGUUGAUAGAGGACAAAAUCAUUAUUAGAAAUUAAUAUUUUUUGGGUUUAAAGGAUAUUGGAUUUUUCUUAGUUGACUAUGGAUAGUGACUUUUUUGGAAUCAAAUAUAGCAUGGUUAUUUAAACCCAUUAAAAUACUAAAUAAACCUAUUUACUAAAACACUCUUAUAAAAGAUUUCUCUCAUUGUUUCUUUUUCAAUCCUCCAUCCACUCUUAAUUCUCUCCAAUGUUUUAUCUGCUAGUAUUGUCUAAUCUAUAAUAGUAAUUUAGGCUAUGGACAUUCUAGUAAUGAAAAACUUAGAUAAAAAAUGAGUCUAAUGAGUAAUUUGAUGGGUUCAAAUAUUCUCACCUAAUCAAAUAUUAUUCUUUUAAUUCUGGAUAAUAGUAACAAAGUACGAUUUCAAAGAUAAUAAUUCAGAAGGUUAGGAAAGUCUUCCAAUGAAUAUUAGAUAUUUAAAUUAGUAGUUCGAAGAGAAAAUACUAGAAGGAUCAUGGAGUCGGGGACAUGGCUGGAUUGCCAGUAAUUUUUUUAAACAAUAGAGAUGCGGGUAAAAUUAAAAUAAUUUUAUCAAUUAAAUAAAACUACUUAAAAGCCAGUUAGCUAGAUCCUAGGGUGAUUACCUGCAAAAUUCAUUACUUUGAUUAAGGAGUAUCUAAUUAGCUGAUUUGAUAUUACGCGUAUGGUUAUAUGAUGGAUAAAAGUAUUAAUUGGAAAAAAAAGUUAAUGGAGAAUAAAUUAUGGAUAUCAUUAUGUGGCUCGAACUCAUACGCUAUUAUAAAUUACAAUCCUACUUAUAAUUAGGUUGAAUGACCAAAUGAAGAUAUAACAAUCUUAAAAUCACACAUAAAAUUGUAACAGUAGUAACAAAUAAAAGUGAAACAUUAAAUCAAACAAUAUUCAGUCAAAGUUAAAGGUGAAAAUACACAAUAAACAUUGAUUACUUUCAUGAAAAUAGCCACAUAUAACCAACAGCACGUUAAUUAUUAUUUUAAAUAUUAUUUCAUGACACAGCUGCAGCUACAUUGCUGUGACCAACACAACAGUAUCUUGUUAUUUCCCAACACAAGAGGAAUAAACACACAAAAGCAGCAAAAGGCAUGCAUGCAGCUUCUUCAAGUUGAGUAACUAUAGCUAGCAAUUGAAGAAGCAAAAGCAGGCAAAACCAAGACCAUCUCUGUG
rnacentral:lncRNA from 1 species